rnacentral:lncRNA from 1 species
AUCCCGUGACCGUCUCAUCAACCCCGCGGAGAAUCGUGUGUGCCUUGCCGAAGAAAUAGAGAAGGGGAGAGGUUGAGCGCCGUAGCCGACGUUCCGCUUGUGCGCCGGGAGGAUCUUCGCAACCUGGGGGCGUGAUAGAAGCAUCAGAUUUCGCGGAGAGUCGUCUAUCACUGGGGAAUUGCUCGUCGGCGCAAAGGUUCUUCCGCCGGGCCGCUACCUCCGCGAGCAGGGUACGUUGUCACUUCAAACACUGGUAAAUAGCCUUCAAAGAGUUUGCUGUUGUCUCCUCGUCGUGUAGCACCAAACACAGUAGAGUAUAGAGCAUCAGGGAGCAAGAUUGGGGGUGCUCACUGGCGCGGCUCCGCCGUGGGGAACGCGGGCGCUGCCCGGGUGUCGCCGGGGUAAGGGGGAGUGCCUUUUGGCCGUCGGUUCGAGGGUGCGCGGCUCAGAUUAAGUCAUAGGGUAAUGCUUCGGCCGGGGGUAUCCACUGUCCGAUUGAAGAUGAAAAGCCGAGAUUUGAUCAAGGCGUGGGCGUCUCCUGGACCGUUGAUCGCCGAUCGAGCGUAUUAGAUUGGAUCCAGCUUCAUAGAAUCUAGGACCUCGAUUUGGAAUCCAGUGGUCUCGGUUACGUACCCGUGGGCGCGUGGAUGGGAUUUAAUCCAUGCCGUCGCUCCGAGAUCUCACGGUCGGGGUUAGGUAUCGGUUCAAUUUAGUUAGAAACUAAUCUACGCCAUUGAAUUUUGAUCCAACGGCUCUGAUUACACCAUACCCCUUCGCCUGGCUAUUUUGUUAAAGAGACCCUGAGGUAAUUAUUAAUAAACCCGUCGUUCACGACUAUUGAGAAAACAUAACAAAUAGGUCCUUUUAUUUUGGAAUUAGCCCCUGACUUAUUGUAAAAUAGAACCGCCAUCCAUAGUUCACUGAGUUACAUAAAAUUAAAUUCGAAAAUUUGUUUUCUAGUAUAAAAGUUAAUAUAUAAACCUUAGAAAAUCCAUACUUUUCACAUUUUAACUUCGAUUUUAGUGGUUCUCAAACCUGCGAUCUCGUAGUGACACGUAGAAUAUUUCUAUGAUGUUUGUUCUCAUGUUUUGGUGUAAUGUUAUAUUAUCUAUUAUUUGUUUAUUUGUAUGUAUUGCUAUGAUUAGAAGUGAUGUGACGAGGAAUUUGAAGCCCAACUUUUGGGGAAGCGUCUGGACAGUUGGUUAUCGCAAGUAUAAGCCAAGUUGUGCCCUUGAUCACAUUCUUUCAUCUAAUAAUGUUCAUGAUAAUCACCGUGACAUGCUUAGGUUAACCUGAUAAGACCUAAUAGGUUACCUAGUUUUGUUACCCUACACCAUGCGUACAAAAUAAUUAUUGGGUAGUCUUGCUAUGCUCUACCUGGUUUUGGAAAUAAUAUUAUAUCUGAAUUAUGAUCAUGCUUUAUCGUUAUUGUUGGCUUAAUUAUUAUUCAUGAUAAGAUUAUUGUGUUAAUUAGAACAUGGAUCGACCACCGAGAAAACAGUGCUAGCAUAAGGGUGGUAUGAGACGUCCUUGACUAACUAAUUAGGAAAGCUAGUGAAGGACUAUCUUACCCGAAAGGGGCAAGGGUGGUAUGAGGAGCUACCGGUAUAGGGAGGUUCUCGGGUCGAUCAUGCUGCGAUGGCUUUUCGAACGAGUGAUUCCUAUAUCGUCCCCUUCUCAACGAAACUGUAACGGGUUAUUGGAACUUUGUAAAGGCCUUGUAAUGGAUCCCUAUCAAUUCACCCAGGAGUGGCUAAGAGCCCUAUAAACCCUGGCUAGAUGGGAUACACGACUUGUGGGUAAAUAUGCGCAAGCUCUGCAGAAUGUAAGUCGUGCUCACAAUCAAGAGUGGCUCGAACCCUCACAUUGCGUUGUGGGAUUUAUUCAUCAUGGCUAUCAAUUAUUUAAUUGGGUUGAUAUUCACUUAUACUUAGUAAUUGCUAAUAAAAUUUUGACCAACUUAUUAAAAGCAAUGCUCAAUCUUAACCAUUUUUUCUUGGUAAGCCUUACACUACACGUGAGCCCCCCACCGUAAAUGAGCUCAUAUACAUUAUUCCUCACACCUGCUGAGCGAUGAUCAUAUGAGAGCUCACCCUUUCUAUAAUCACACCAAGUCAAGAACAGGUACUGCAAGAUGAGGAGCAUGAAGGAUGCUAAGAUGAGUUCGGAGAGGUCUAGGCCUGUCGGGUACCGUAAUUAGGGGUACCCCCAAUACUCCUUAACAUGGCUGGAAAACAUCUUCAGAACAAACCGUAAAGAUUGAUAGGCACUGUUCAAGUCAAGGCCUCGUCUACCAAGGGACGCGAUCUCGUCUCGCCCGAGCCCGACCUCGGGCAAGAACUGCAGUCCCGGACGGAUUUACGCCUCGCCUGAGGGCCUCCUCAGGCAGUGGGCGCACCCUCGACUCGCCCGAAGCCAAGCUCGGGCAAACUUUGUCGUGCAGCGACCUCGGCCAAAUGGCCUUACCAACCGACCGUAUCGCAUGCGCAUUUAAUGUGGGGAUCGCCUGACACCUUAUCCUGACACGCGCGCCUCAGUCGGCAAGGUCGAAGUGACCGCAGUCACUUCGCCCCUUUACUAAUCGUUCUGACAGGAAAACAGCACUAUUCACCCCAUUCCGACUACUGUGCCAACCACCAGGGUAAAACUAACGACAGUAAGUCAUGACCUCCCCCGAGUUCAGCCUCGGGCGCAACAGGGAGCUCUGCCUCGCCUGACCUCAGGCCUCGGCCUCAGCCUCGGCCUCGGGAGAAGGUCUUCGCCUCGCCUGACCCCAGGCCUCAGCCUCGGCCUCUGGAGAAGGUCUCCGCCUCACCCGACCCAGGCCUCAGCCUCGGCCUCGGGAGAAGGUCUCCGCCUCGCCUGACCUCGGGCCUUAGCCUCGGCCUCAGGAGGAGUCACAUCCUCGCCCGACCUCAGCCUCGGCCUCAGGAGAAGUUUCCGCCUCUCCCGACCUCGGCCUCGGACCGACUACGCCACUGGGGAUACAUCAUUACCCUACCCCUAGCUAGCUGCCUCAGGCUACGAAGGAACAAGACCGGUGUCCCAUCUAGAUUACUCUGGUAACAGGUAAUGAUGGUUCCCUGUGUGCGUCCAUGACGUUGGUUGUUCUCAACUCUCUACGAAAGCAAAGAAAUGUCAGCAGGACCCCGGGCCGCAACGCCAGCUACGCUUCUACAGGGCUCAAGUACUUCUCUGUCGGCCAUGUUAGCACAUAGCUACACCCCCAUUGUACAGCUGGACCAUCUCCUUGUAUCUAUAAAAGGGGAUGUCCAGGGCCUUCCUAAAAAAAGGAGGCGAGGGAGGCAGAGUGGGAGAGACGCGAAGGAGGCUAACUCAGACACCUCACCUCAAGGCCGGACCCUCUCCCUCUCUCUCUCGCGACGCUUGUAACCCCUACUACGAGCACCCCGGUGCAAGAUAAUAUAAGCCUCAUCCUCCCUCUUGUGUUCCAUCUUGCAUCAACCCAUCUGGGCAGGGACACGCAGCGACAAAUUCACUAGUCGGUUGAGGGUCCUCGCGGCUCCGAAAUGCCGACAGUUGGCGCGCCAGGUAGGGGUCUGCUGCGUGUUAACAAAUAAGUUCCAAAUGGACAAUCUUCGGCAGCCUCUUCAACCCAGGACGGUGCUCCGCUUCGGGAGUCUCGAGUUCAUGUCCCGCGACGGCAGCUACGACAUGGUACUCCUCCCCUCGCAGCACGACAGCAACGACGGUCGUCGGCUCGCCCGGCGGAGGCGAACUCGACGACGGCAUCUCCCCACUAUAGAAGAGGAACAUCCGGGUUUGCCCCGCCACCCUCCUCACCGGAGGAGGAGGAGACGAGGCAACCGUGGCCAGGCAGGAGGCGACACUUCGUCGGCUGUUGGGCCAGGGCGAGCCGACGACACCGGCACCCCUGCGGGGGACAUGUCAGGUGUUGUCCUCGCACCUGGGACAACGACGGGUGUCGCUUCCCAGCAAUGUGCCAACCCCAAGCGGACUGAUGACGCCGGCACCCUUGCGAGGGACUUGUCGGACAUUUGUCUCGCACCUGAGAUAACGACACACUCCGUCCCCGAUGCGACUUCACCACCAUCCAUCAACCAGGAGGUACUAUUAGUUUUCCAUCCUGUUCCCUUUAGAUUCAGCUUCGAUCCACCAAGCGACCCCGCUUCGGUGAGCGCUUUCGCAAGGGCAUAUCUUGACCUUCUCGGGUACCAUAUGUGGUCAACUUGGGACCGACUGAUGGCCGUCUCAACCUCUGGACCCGCGGGUUCCGAGGAAGAAGACGACCCCGACUUCAGUUGGGAUUUCUCCGGACUCCGUGAUCCCAGUGCAAUGCGAGACUUCAUGUCUGCAUGUGACUACUACCUCUCCGGUUACUCUGACGUUGGCCACAGCCUUGACGACGAGGGUUACGACCCAAGUCGCGAGUGUUUCCACAUCGAUCAGGGGGAUCACGAUGAAGACAACCACCUCGGCAUGCCAGGAGACGACGACGCCCCUGUGCCUGCACCUCGCGUUGAGAUCCCGCGGGAGCUAGCUGUGGUCCGAGUCCUUGCGGGGGGUCAGGACCCACAGCUCGAGCAACUCCGCGAGAUGCAGGCCAAGCUCAACGAAGAAACGGGACGACUUGUGCAGCUCCGACAAAACAUCGAGCAUGAGUGGGCAGGCCGAGCACUCGCCGGAGGAGCGCGUCAUCGGGCCCGGGGCGUCCAACGCCGUAUCAUUGACGAUGCCAGGGCAGGGCUGCCCCCGGCCUUCAGCGGGGCCGGCCAGAACCUAGCUGCAGCGGCAAUGCUACUUCGAACAAUGUCGGAGCCAUCCACCACCGAGGGGCGACAUAUCCAGGGCAAACUCAAGGAUCUCCUGGAAAAUGCCGCCGUCCGACGAGCCGAGAGCUCUGCCUCCUGAAGGCGAGGGUGCCCCUCGGAGCAUCGCGUAACGUCCUCCCGACGCAUGCGGGAGGCCUCGGUCCACACCGAGCGCACAGGGGACGGGACGCCUGCAGCCCCGGACCGCCUCGGCAGCGAGCAACACCGCCGCGACCGUCGAGCCCGCCUUGAGGAAAGGGUGCGCCGAGGCUACCACCCCAGGCGCGGAGGACACUACGACAGUGAGGAGGAUCGGAGCCCCUCGCCUGAACCACUAGGUCCGCGAGUCUUCAGCCGGGCCAUACGAUAGGCGCUGUUCCCGGCCCGGUUUCGAGCCCCGACUACCAUCACCAAGUACUCAGGGGAGACAAGGCCAGAGUUGUGGCUCGCGAGGCUGGCGUGCCAGUUGGGAGGGACGGACGAUGACAACCUCAUCAUCCGCAACCUCCCCCUUUUCCUCUCCAACGCUGCCCGGGCCUGGCUGGAGCAUCUGCCUCCUGCGCAGAUCUUCAGCUGGGACGACCUAGUCAAGGCCUUCGCUGGAAAUUUCCAAGGUACUUACAUGCGCCCUGGGAACUCGUGGGAUCUCCGGAGCUGCCGCCAGCAGCUAGGGGAAUCCCUGCGAUAAUACAUCGGGCGGUUUUCCAAGCAGUGCACCGAGUUGCCCAACAUCACCGACUCGGAUGUCAUCGGAGCAUUCCUCGCCGGCACCACUUGCCGAGACCUGGUGAGCAAACUGGGACGCAAGACUCCCACCAAGGCGAGCAAAUUAAUGGACAUAGCCACCAAGUUUGCCUCUGGUCAGGAGGCGGUCGAAGCCAUCUUCCGGAAGGACAAGCAGCCUCAGGGAAGACAGAAGGAAGACGUCCCUGAGGCGUCCGUCCAGCGUGGCACGAAGAAGACCAGGAAGAAGGCGCAAGCAAAACGCGACGCCGUUGACGCGAAUCUCGUCGCUGCUACCGAGCACCGGAAUCCUCGGAAGCCUCCCGGAGGGGCCAGCAUGUUCGACAAGAUGCUCAAGGAGUCGUGCCCCUAUCACAGGGGUCCCGUCAAGCACACCCUUGAAGAGUGCGACAUGCUCCGGCGUUACUUCAAUAAGGCUGGACCCUCGGCAGAAGGUGGCAAGGACCAAGGCAACAACAAGAAGGGGGGCGACAAGGAAGAAGAGUUCCCGGAGGUCCACAACUGCUUCAUGAUCUACGGCGGGCAAGUGGCGAAUGCUUCGGCUCGACACCGCAAGCAUGAGCGCCGAGAGGUCUGCUCGGUGAAGGUAGCAGCGCCGGUCUAACUAGACUGGUCCGACAAGCCCAUCACCUUCGACCAAGGCGACCACCCCGGCUGCGUACCGAGCCCAGGAGGUACCCACUCGUCGUCGACCCUAUCAUCGGCAAUGCUAGGCUCUCCAAGGUCCUCAUGGACGGAGGCAGCAGCCUCAACAUCAUCUACGCCGAGACCCUAGGGUUCUUGGGGAUCGAUCUGUCCACAAUCCGGGCCGGUGCAGCACCUUUUCACGGGAUUGUCCCCAGCAAGCGUGUCCUGCCCCUUGGGCAACUCGAUUUGCCCGUCUGCUUCGGAACUCCCUCCAACUUCCGAAAGGAAACCCUCACUUUCGAGGUAGUCGGGUUCCGACGGACCUAUCACGCGGUGCUGGGAAGACCGUGCUACGCCAAGUUCAUGGCCGUCCCCAACUACACGUACCUCAAGCUCAAGAUGCCAGGCCCCAAGGGAACCAUCACCGUCGGAUCCACGUACCGCCACGCUUACGAGUGCGACGUGGAAUGCGUGGAGUACGCUGAGGCCAUCGCCGAGUCCGAGGCCCUCAUCGCCGACCUGGAUUGCCUCUCCAAAGAGGCGCCUGAUGCGAAGCGCCACGCUGGCAACUUCGAACCAGCUGAGGCGGUUAAGUCUGUCUCUCUCGACCCCAGCAACGACGCCGACAAGAAAGUCAGGAUUAGCUCCGAGCUCGACCCCAAAUAGGAAGCAGUGCUCGUCGACUUUCUCCACGCAAACGCCAAAUUUUUUGCGUGGAGUCCCUCAGACUUGUCCGGCAUACCGAGGGAUGUCGCCGAGCACUCGCUGGACAUCCGAGCCGGUGCCCGACCCGUGAAGCAGCACCUGCACCGUUUUGAUGAAGAAAAGCGUAGAGCCAUAGGCGAGGAGGUCCACAAGCUAAUGGAUGCAGGGUUCAUCAAAGAGGUAUUCCAUCCAGAAUGGUUAGCUAACCCUGUGCUUGUAAAGAAAAAAGGUGGGAAAUGGAGGAUGUGCGUAGACUACACUGGGUUAAAUAAAGCAUGUCCAAAGGUUCCCUACCCUCUGCCUCGCAUCGAUCAAAUUGUGGACUCCACUGCUGGGUGUGAAACCCUGUCUUUCCUCGAUGCCUAUUCAGGCUAUCACCAAAUCAAGAUGAAAGAAUCCGACCAGCUCGCGACUUCUUUUAUCACACCUUUUGGCAUGUAUUGUUAUACUACUAUGCCAUUUGGCUUGAGGAAUGCAGGCGCAACAUACCAAAGGUGCAUGAACCACGUGUUCGGGGAGCACAUCGGCAGAACGGUCGAGGCUUACGUCGAUGACAUCGUUGUCAAAACAAGAAAAGCCUCCGAUCUCCUCUCUGACCUUGAGAUAACAUUCAGGUGUCUAAGAGCGAAGGGCGUAAAACUCAAUCCCGAGAAGUGUGUCUUCGGAGUCCCUCGAGGCAUGCUCCUUGGGUUCAUCGUCUCCGAACGAGGCAUCGAGGCCAACCCGGAGAAAAUCGCGGCCAUCACCAACAUGGGACCCAUCAAAGAUUUAAAAGGAGUACAAAGGGUCAUAGGAUGCCUUGCGGCUCUGAGCCGCUUCAUCUCGCGCCUUGGCGAGAAAGGACUGCCCUUGUACCGCCUCUUAAGGAAGGCCGAGUGCUUCACUUGGACUCUCGAGGCCGAAGAAGCCCUCGGAAACCUUAAAGCACUCCUUACUAAUGCGCCCAUCUUGGUGCCCCCCGUUGCGGGAGAAGCCCUCUUGAUUUACGUAGCCGCAACCACUCAGGUGGUCAGCGCCGCGAUCGUAGUCGAGAGACGAGAAGAGGGGCAUGCACUGCUCAUCCAGAGGCCUGUCUACUUCAUCAGCGAGGUGCUAUCCGAGACCAAGAUCCGCUACCCACAAAUCCAGAAGCUACUGUACGCGGUAAUUCUAACACGGCGAAAGCUACGACACUACUUCGAGUCUCAUCCAGUGACUGUGGUGUCAUCCUUCCCCCUAAGAGAGAUCAUCCAGUGCCGAGAGGCCUCGAGUAGGAUAGCAAAAUGGGCAGUGGAACUCAUGGGCGAAACACUUUCAUUCGCUCCUCGGAAGGCCAUAAAGUCCCAAGUCUUGGCAGACUUCCUGGCUGAAUGGGUCAACACCCAAUUGGAGACAGCUCCAAUCCAGGCCAAACUUUGGACCAUGUACUUCAAUGGGUCGCUUAUGAAAUCCGGAGCAGGAGCUAGCUUGCUCUUCAUCUCACCCCUCGGGAAACAUGUGCGCUACGUGAUACGCCUCCAUUUUCCGGCAUCAAACAACGUGGCUGAAUACGAGGCCUUGGUUAAUGGGUUGCGCAUCGCCAUUGAGCUAGGGGUUCGGCGCCUCGACGCUCAUGGCGAAUCGCAGCUCGUUAUUGACCAAGUCAUGAAGAACUCUUACUGCCGCGAUCGAAAAAUGGAGGCCUACUGCGACGAAGUUCGGCGCUUGGAAGAUAAGUUCUACGGGCUGGAACUCAACCAUGUUGCUCGACGGUACAACGAGACUGCGGAUGAGCUAGCUAAAAUAGCCUCGGGACGGACGACGGUUCCCCCGGACGUCUUCUCCAGGGACAUAUAUCAACCAUCCGUCAAACUCGACGACGCGCCCAAACCCAAGGUAACCUCGGCCCAGCCCGAGGUACCCUCGGCCGCUGAGGGUGAGGCCCUGCGCGUCGAGGGAGAGCAGAAUGGGGUUACGCCAAACCUGAACUGGCAGACCCCGUACCUGGAAUAUCUCCUCCGAGGAGAGCUGCCCCUCGACAAGGCCAAAGCUCGGCGACUGGCUCGGCGCGCCAAGUCAUUCGUUUUACUGGGUGAUGAAAAAGAGUUGUACCACCGCAACCCCUCAGGCAUUCUCCAACGAUGCAUAUCCGUCGCCAAAGGACAGGAGCUGUUACAGAAAAUACACUCAGGGGCUUGCGGUCACCAUGCAGCACCUCGAGCCCUCGUGGGAAACGCUUUCCGACAAGGUUUCUACUGGCCGACCGCGGUGGCUGACGCCACUAGGAUUGUACGCUCCUACCGAGGGUGUCAAUUCUACGUGAGACGGACACACCUACCCGCUCAGACCCUGCAGACAAUACCUAUCACUUGGCCGUUUGCCGUAUGGGUUCUGGACCUCGUCGGUCCCUUGCAGAAGGCACCCGGAGGCUUCACGCACCUGCUGGUCGCCAUCGACAAAUUCUCCAAGUGGAUCGAAGUCCGACCCUUAACCAGCAUCGGGUCUGAGCAGGCGGUGGCGUUCUUCACAAAUAUAAUCCAUCGCUUUGGGGUCCCAAACUCCAUCAUCACCGACAAUGGCACACAGUUCACUGGGAAAAAGUUCCUGGACUUCUGCGAAGACCACCACAUUCGUGUGGACUGGACCGCCGUAGCUCACCCAAUGACAAAUGGGUAGGUGGAGCGCGCCAAUGGCAUGAUUUUGCAGGGACUAAAACCAAGGAUCUACAACGACCUCAACAAGUUUGGCAAGCGGCGGAUAAAAGAGCUACCCUCGAUAGUUUGGAGUCUGAGGACGACGCCGAGCCGGGCCACGGGCUUCUCGCCGUUUUUCCUAGUCUAUGGGGCCGAGGCCAUCUAACCCACGGACUUGGAAUACGGUUCCCGAGGAUAAAGACAUACGACGACCAAAACAACCAGACCAGCCGAGAGGAUUGAUUGGACCAGCUGGAAGAGGCUCGGGACGUAGCCUUACUACACUCGGCGCGGUAUCAGCAGUCUCUGCGACGCUACCACGCCCGAAGGAUUCGGCCCCGAGGCUUCCAAGCGGGAGAUUUGGUGCUUCGGCUACGACAAGACGCUCGAGGGCGCCACAAGCUUACUCCUCCCUGGGAAGGGCCGUUCAUCAUCGCCAAAAUUCUGAAGCCCGGGACAUACAAGCUGGCCAACGAUCGAGGCGAAGUCUACAGCAACGCUUGGAACAUCCAACAGCUACGUCGCUUCUACCCUUAAAAUGUUUCAAGUCCUUCAUGUAUCUCGCUUUCUUUCCAUGUAUAAAUAAAGUCUAACCAUCAAGGAAGGAUCAGCUUUGCCUCGGCAAAGCCAGACCCUCCCUCGGGGGCUAGAAGGGGGGAACCCCCUCUGCGUCAAAAUUUUCCUCGGAAGAGUUUUCUACCAAAACGACUUUCGUGCUUUUCGACUAUAUCGAUAACGGAAUCCUAAAAACAACGAGAGGAACCUUAAACGGCAAGGCCGACCGAGCCGAGGGACUCCUACGCCUCCGGGAUACGGAUACCUCACUCAUCACCUUCCGCGAAAAGUAACUCACGCUCGGAUAAGCGAUUCUGCUACCGAACAAGUCCUAACGCUCGAAACAAGAGGAAAGAAAACACAGCUUUAUACUCUGACACUAAAAAUGUUUAGGCCUCAGCGGCCACAAGAAACAUACGCAUACUUAAAACAAACUGUUCCUACAGGCUCAGGUAUCGGCAGGGGGAGGAGCAGCACCCUCGGUGUCGUUUCCACCCUCGGCAGAAUCAGGCCUGGCCUCAGACGGCGACACGGGCAGAAGGAUCUCCACCUCAAAGGAGGAAGCCAGCGUCGCGCUUGGGCCCUUGACAGCCGCGUCAAGCCUUUGGACCUCGGCUAAGGUGGCCUCCUCUUCGUUGGGUAAGCAGUACCCCUCGCUGACCCGCUCCAGAUCCACGUCGUAGUGGGAAGCGAGGACGGCGAAGGCCCGCCUAACGCCGUGGUGCAGCGCCCCGCGGAGUCUGCUGCGCACAUGGCCGCCCAAGGCCCGCAAGUGACUCUGGGGGGAGCUACCCGAGGGGAUGUCGUCGAGGCCAAAGGCCCGGCAAAAAGCCGAGAUAGCCUCGGACAUGGCCAUGCGGUCGGCCUCCUUCUGCUCAGCCGCUUGGGCAAGCGCCUUGCAGUUCUCAACGGACUCGUUAAGAGCUGUCUCGAACCCUGCAAAAAGUCGGACAAUAUUCUUCAGACACGAGGUGAAGAAUGGAGACAAAAACAAAGUCAUAAAGUGGACAAAACAGACCUUCAGCCCGGGCGCGCUGCUGUGAGGCCAUGGCUUGGGCGGACUGGGCAGACCCGACGGCCACAUCCAGGCCCUCCGCAAGGGUCCCGGCCCGAGCGGACGCCUCGGCUAGCCACUCCGUAGCCUCAGCCAGCUGACCCCUAAGGGCCUCAGCCCGGCUCAUGGCCUCGGCAGCUUGGCUCCGAGAUUGGUCCCGCUCGCCGAUGACCUAGCCAAGCUCCAGCUGCCGCUGCUGCAUCUCCUCGGCCUAGGAAGCCACCUGCUCCCGGGCCGACGAAGCCUCCGCUCGUGCCGACGCCACCUCUGUCCAGGUGCUAUCCGAGGCGCCAAGGGGGCGACCUGCCUAGGCGUCGUCACGACGGCCGAGGGACCAACCUCCUGUACGGCCAGCGUGGGCGCUUGCUCUUGGGGGACAUGCGGCUCGGCCUGACCCCUGAAGUCACCCCAAUUAUCUCGGCCAAGGGGUCAAGUACCCCCUCGGCCCGCCUCCGCUCCUCGGAUCGGGACCCUGAUGUCCCGGCCCCAAACACUAGCGGUGCCAGCCCACUUGGAGGCUGGCUUGGCGACCCCUGGCCCAGCCUCGGGUCCGGGCUGAAGCCCAGCCGGGCCGCCAUGUCAUCAUCAUCAUCAUCAUCAUCAUCAUCGUCGUCGUCGUCAUGCGUGUCCGGCGACGACUCCAAUGGGUGCCCGUCCCUUGCUUGCCUCCGACGGCGCUUCUCCAAGGCUUCCCGAGCUCGCAUCCUCUCACGAGCUUGGGCCUUUUCCGUGUCCUUCUUCUCCUUGUCCUUCUCCGCGACGAGCCUACGCGCGGUUUGGUUCGCCGCGUCCUCCGGGACUGGUGGAAGGGAGAGUUUAAAACUCCUCAACCCCUGGGGACGAACGAAAAUCCCAACAGUAAGAGCUAAAAACGUAAAAAACUCGGCGCAAAGCAGGAGGAGGACCAAACACUUACCAGGGACACAUACCCACGGUCGAGACGCAUCAGGGGCUGGCUGAGGGCGCCAGCAUCCAGCCUCCAUACCGUACCUGCUACCGCCUGAGGAGGUCAUCGGCGGAGAGGGAGGUCGAGGACAUCCGCGAACCCUCCAGAUCGACCCCCGGCUUCAUCUCUGAAAGCCGCAACCACCACUCUGCCAAGGGGAGCACCCUCCGGCGAUGUAUAGUGGCAACGACCCCCGCAGCGGUAAGGCCCGCGGCUUGUAGCUUCUGCAAGGCACGCAGAAUGGGCUGGAGCUUCUCCUGGUUCUCGCGUGUGGCCCCCCAGCGCCAGUUAUUACCGGCGUCACCACUCGUUGAGAAAACGGCGGAAGCAUCCCGUCAUCGUUCCAGAGAUAAAACCACUGGUUCUGCCACCCCUUGUUCGAAGAUACAAGGGAGGCGGGGAUGUACUGCGCUGCCCGCCCUGACCUCAGCUGGAGGGUGCAGCCGCCAGCCCGCACCGUCAUACGGACCUUCUUCACGUCCGUCGACGCGACGAAGAACUCCGCGGAGAAGAGAUGGGUCCACAGGUCCCAGUGGGGGUCAAUCCCCAGAAACCCCUCGCAAACCGCUGCGAAAAUGGCCGCUUGCGCUAUGGAGUUGGGGUUGAAGUUAUGCAGCUCCACCCCGUAGUAGUGCGGGAGCGCCCGCAUGAAGCGGCUCGCUGGCAUCCCAAACCCCCGCUCAUGGAAGGGGAUGAAACUGACCACGUACCCCGGCGGCGGAGUCGGGUCGGCCUUGCUCCCGGGGGCCAUCCACUCAAGCCGCGGCCCGCCGGAGAGAGGACGGAGCAAACCAUCGGUGACAAGGGCCUCCAGCUCCUCCACAGUAACGGUGGAGAAAGAUGUAACACCCUAAAUCCAUCACCUAAAAGUAAUCUAGUUUUACUUAAUUAGUUUCCAUUAGAAAAAAACUUUUUGUUUUCAAACAAUGAAAAUGGUAAUAUAAAUAAAUUGAAUGAUUUACUUAAGAGAUAAAAUUUUAUGAAGUGUUUGGCAUAUUCAUUCCACAGCAUAUAUUUCGUUUGAUUUGAUUCUCAUAUCUUUUUUUUGGAUUUAAUUUGUUGUAAAACCCUCAUUUUAUAAAAUAAUAAUGUGUUGUUAAAAUAAGUGUUUUUGGAGUGUGCAUUUUGAUAGGUUAAUAAUAGUCAUUUGUAAGUAUUUGUCAAAAUUUUAUUUUAUUGAUUUCUUUUCUACUCAGCCCAAUCAAUUAAAAUAAUAGACUUUUGACUAAAAUAUUUAUUCUUUAAAAUUAGGUAUUUUUUAAAUAUUAAGUUUGAUUUUUUGAAAUAUUUGAAUAUUAUAUAAAUAUAUAAAGAAAGAAAAAUAAAAAACUCACAACUCACACGCACACAUCUAAAUUGACAAAAAAAAGAGAAAUAAAAAAAGAUAAAACAAAAUCAAAACAAAAACAAGUCACGGCCGCCGACCCCUAGCACAUGCUCUUCUCUCUCCCCCUUCUCUUCUCCAGUUUAUGCUCGGAUUGCAGGAUCGCAGUCGUCGCUGCCAUUUGAUGCUGGACGCAUGCGCUCGCUGGCCCUUCAACUCCGUGUGGAGCAUAACACCACGCCUUGGCCACCUGUUUCCUCCCCGACCGAGCUCCCCUGCGCCCAUCGCCAACCGCGCCGCGCCCAGGAGAUGCGCAGGCCGCGCGCACUACGCCGUGCCCGAGCGACACCGAAGACCCCGCAGACGUGCCGGUCGCCAAGCCGACCGACCCCGCGCCGAGGAUUCCGCGCCCCUGCAGCGCUCCACCCGCAGCACGCGCCCGACUGUCGCGAUCCGAGCAAUCGAACCGACCCGCGCAGAGCCGCCCCACACGCGUCCGUUUCUUCCGUCGCGUGUAAUGGAGCUUUCACUGCGACCGUUAAUCUCUCCCCACGUUCAUCCUCCAUUAAAAUCAACGCCAUUAAUAGCCAUGAUACACCCCUAACGACCUCUGCUCUCCCUCUCUAUCUCUAUAAAACCCCAGUCAAGCUCUCCCCUUCUCCCUGCCCAACCUCGCCCUCUCUUCUCGCGCCUCCCUCGCUCUCGCAGUGUAGUCUGCUGGAGUUCGCCGCCGUGAAGUUCGUCGCCGGACUGUCUGUGUCUGUUUGUCGUUCAACGGAGUUCCAUCCGUGCCUACGCGCUGUCCGUCGUUCGCCGUCCGUCCCGGAGUCCGUGAAGCUCGCUCACGCAGCACCCAGACAACCAUGCCCACGCUGUUCACCGUCAUUCGUUCACCCAAGGUUAAAGACAACCCCGAAAUAUUUAUCAUAUUUUGAAUUUAUUUUGUGAGAUAUUGAUGUGAUUUGGCGAUUCGCGUGUACAAUUUUAGAGAUUCAUGAUGUAUACGUGUAACCAAAAUCGAACCCCACGAUAAUAUUUUAAAUAUGCGUAUGAUUUUAUAGUUCUAAAAAUGAACACGGUCACUAGUCACUACCGCGGCGAUUUUCAUACUAGAAUACAUUUACGGAUUUGAUUUCGCUUUAAUGUGUGGAGCGAUAAUUGGUUAGUAUUGUUAUAAGUAUAAUCUUAGUGAUAUAAGAAAUUAAAAUAGAUAUUAAGCCAAGUAUUUCCAUGAAAAAUGUAUAGAUUUUACUGUUCAUAAUAAAUGUAUUCAUAAGUAUAGCACCUAGUUACUUAGAAUAGUAAAAUGCUCAUUUAUGUUAUAAUAACCAUGAAUAGGUUAUUAAAAGUCCCAUUUAGUAAUUUAUAAUUAAUUCUUAGUAUAUUAAUGUUAGAGGAAUUAAAUAAACAAUUUUUAGUUGUACGUAUAAAUUCUAUUUAGAAAAGAAAGGAGAAAACGAAAUAAUAGAAUUUUAUAAUAAUAUUAAAAUAACUUAAUUAGGCACUCAUGCUUUCCUAAUAAAGAAAUUGAUAGUUAUGUUGGUAAAUAGAUGUUUCUUACUAAAGAAUUAGAGAAUUUGUUUCUAACUGUAAAACGACCUUUUAAUAGACAUCAUGAUUUUAAUUUAAUAAGAUUCGUUAUAAAUGUUUAAGUAUAGCAGUACUAAAUAGUAAUAUAUCAUAUAACUUUUCUAAUAAUGAUAUAAUGACUUAAUCAAGUGCUCACACCGUCAUAACUAAAAUGAUAGUUAAUAAUAUACCAAUAAAUAUAGUAUUCAUUUUAAUUAUCUAGAUCAUUUGUUCCUACAAUAACAUUAAAGAUAAUUAAUAGAUUAAUUAUCCUUUAUCAUAAUUUAUUAAUCAAACCUAUAGUUAAUUUGUUCUUAAUUAGAUUUAUGGCAUGAUUAAUGUUUCCACAGAAUUUAGUUCACAUUAUAUACAGAUCACUUAGUUUUUCUAAAGGAUAAAAUAAAGUAAUAAGAGUUUAAGUUCUUUUAUAACUUAAAAUGUUACUUUAUAUAUUGACUUCAAAUAUAAUAAUAUAGGCUAUGUGUUUUCAAAUAAAAUAAAAGAUAGUUAUUUGUUUAUUAUCUUUUGCAUGAAAAUCCACUUAAGGCCCAUAACUUAACUCGUCUUAAAUAAGUGAUUAAUAAUAUGAUCUUUUCACAUAAAACCUGUUUAAUAAAACCUGUUUAGGCUUAUAUCUUAAGGUCUUUUCAAAUAGAUGUUUUAUUAUAUGUUCCAUAAGGCUUCAUAAAAUAAUAAUGUAUUUCAUAACGCAUUAAUCUUAGAUAUAACGUAUAUCUUUUCUAAAAGGUUAAAUAGUUUUAAUAUUGUUAUAACGUGUUUUAUCGUCUUAUAAACCCUUAAUCUUAGACAUAUCACAUAUAACGUUUUAUAAAGGAUUAGUUUGGUGAACCUAAUAUUUGUAUAUUUUAAUUAAGACAUUUUAAGCUCAUGUCUUGUUUUAUAAAGUAUAGAUCACACACUUUUCAAAAGAAUACCUUUUAUUAUAACCCUUGCGUGUAAUGUUUUUGAAACAUGAACGCUCUUUUCGUUAGGCUUUCUUUUAGCUUUAUGUAUGGUGAAUGUUGUAUGUUAUUGAGUGGUGUUUGUUUCUUCUUGUUUGUUUGUGUGAUAUUCAGUGAUUGAUCUAAUAGUUGAGAAUCAAGUGCUAUUCCGUGGAAGAAUCUCAAGUUUUCUAUAAGCAAGGCAAGUGGACUUCUCCCUCUGCAUACUCUGUUUGAUCCCAAACAAUACAUUUAAUAAAGUUUAUUCUUUUGGAUAUAUAUGCAUAAUUUGACGGGUUACCUAUUUAGAUAACCUUUCCAACCUUAUUCCUUGAUCAAACCUGGGAAUUAUACUUUACCUUCGUAGCUAUGCUAUUGCUACAACUUAACUUUAUGCAGUCACUCCCGCUUAUGAUAUUAAUGUUCCAAAAUGGUAAGUUUACAUUAUUGUUGUUAACCCGAUGGUUAAACAAGAUUAUUGCAUAUUAAUUGGAACAUGGAGUGACCACCCGAGAAAACAGUGCUACCAUGAGAACUAUCAUGGCUCUGGUCUUGGCUAAAUAACUAGGGAAGUCUUAUGUUGGGUGCUGGUCGUGGUUGACAGGAACGGGGGCACCUGGCAAGCUCUUAUAGUUCCGGCUCAGGAAGAUUGGAUACGGGCAUAGUUCCCAAAGCUUUACCCUGCAGUCUGGGCUAUAAGUUGGUUAUGUUAGGUGUGCUUUAUGCAGUUUGACCAUUUCCAGCAUUUGCGUAAUGAGGACUCUAGGGAGAAGCCUCGUAGUGAGACCCUGGCCAUUCACCUCGGAAGUGAAUACGGGUCUAGCUAACCCGGGCUAGAAGGGAAUCGCGACUCAUGGGUAAAGAUGCGCCACCUCUGCAGAGUGUAAAACUGAUAUAUCAGCCGUGCUCACGGUUAUGAGCAGCCUGGACUCCUCACAUGAUAAUUGAACUUGAAGAUGGAAAUAAAUUGAGAUCCGAUGAUCCGCCAAUGGUUUGUUUAAGUGGUUUCACUUAAGUGUUUUUGAUAUACUCUUACACUUUUGUUUAAUGGGAAUACUUGGGAUUCACACUUAUUAGUAAGACAGGUGUUGUUAAUAAAAUGUUGACCAACUAAAAUGCUUACUGCUCAGCCUUAGCCUCACCUUGUUAUACCUGCAUUAGUUUUUCCCCCACUUGCUGAGCCCCGACCAUAAGUGAGCUCACCCUUGCUUAAUUUUGAUCAGAAGUUUGCAGAUGAAGAUUUUGAUGGUGAACUCCAUGGAUGCUAGUCUAGUGAUACCCCCGGUCAUCUUCCUGUGGAUGGAUGUCCUUGUUUUGCUGUACUUUGAUGAACAAAGGUUAAGACAUUAUGUCUGUUCAAAGUGUAAUAUGUUAAUAUAAUCGUUAUUUACGCUUUUAUGCAUUGUUCUUUUGAUAUAUUACACUUGUGACGUCAACAUAUGUGUGGAAAUAGAUUCUGGCACACAUAUGCUAUGCACCCGGCUCUGCCCCUUAGAAACGGGUGUGACAGAAGUGGUAUCAGAGCAAUGUGACCGUAGAUCGCUAGAUUAGUUAGAAAUGGAAAGCCCAGUUAGUCUUUCAAAGCCUGAUAUAUUUUCCUCCACAAAAACUUACUUUAUAUCAAAACUCAUCUCUUUUAUCUUCAACCCUUCUUGUCUGAUUCUUCGUCUAACAGAAGGUUCUAAGGAGAAGCAUUGCAAGAUGAUCAAGCUAGGAUUGCGGAACUUGAAGCGAAGAUUGCCAGAAGAAACCUUUUCGAAGCUAUCGACGAUGCCCUAUCCUCUGUCUUAUCCCCACUCCGCAAGAAGUUUUGCUAUGGAUCCUUUGGAUCUAUUACCAGACUUCUUGGUUAGGUUGAUAGGAUUGUUCUUUAGUAUUAAGAUUUUCGACUAGAUCGGUAAUGGCGAUAUUAUAUUAUAGUGGUUUUCUAAUCCCUAAUAUUGCUAUAUAACCCUUGACUUCUUAUACAUUUGUUUUCUUGCCAUUGUAUUGCCACCCUUGCGCAAUAUCUACCUUGAUAUAUUAAACCUUUCCUCUAUACUUUUCUCCUUGAUAAUACUUUCUCCCUAACUCACUUCAUAUCCUUGGUUGUAUCAUUUAUCCUCGCUUUAAUUGUUCAUGGUUAUCUUAUUUCACUCUUGGCCACCAACAAAUAUGUCUUGUCUAACUCCUUGAUAAUUCCUACCUAACUCCUUGAUGUUAUAUUAUCUUUCUUAUUCCAAACCUUGUCUCACCUUUUGUUUUGGUUAAAUGAGUAGAAUUGGAUUGUGUUGUGCUGGUAUACUUGAGUUCAUUGUCCUUUGUGUUCAUGUUUGAUUUGUUUCUUUGAAAUGAUUGUUGGUGUAUUGUGUAACUUUUGUCCACAUGACAUCAAUUAGCUAGGAAAAACCUUAGAUAGAUGGGUUUUCUCUGCUCUCUAUAAUCUGUCUUUGCUCAACCCUUUCGUCCCUCCUAUUCUUCCAUACCCAUACAAAUGUCAGACCUUGGAAUAUCAACCACAAGUGAUGUCACUAAGUGCAAAGAAGGCGGUGUGUUGGCAAGUCAAAACAACACUCUAAAUAAAACAGUUGAUGAACAGGCAUUCAAGACACAAAAGGAUGCACAACCAAACCAACAAACAAGUGAACUUGGAACAUGUUGUUGUUGUGAGUACUAUGGAAUUCCUUGUCGCUAGAUCAGUACAAACAAAAGUGAAACUACAAAACAGAAGAAUCGGAUUUUAUUUUCUGGCAUAAAAAGUCAAUGGUCUCCCCAAGAACAACUAAAAACAGAUGCACUAUCAGACGAUGAAUUGCCAGGUUUUCCAAAAAGGAAACAUCACAAGGAUGCCCAGCUACAAAAAGAAGCAAAGGAGUGUUACAUUGAUGGAUGGACUAUCACCUGCACACAGUUUCAGCCUCGUCGUCGCAUCAGUUCCAAGAAACAAAAAUGGAAACAUGGAAAAAGUCAAGAAAUAACUUCAAGAAAGUCUUGCUAUCAAUGUGGACGUGAAGGUCAUUACUUCCGUAACUGUCCUGAGAAGAGUUCACUACCGGAUACCUCCGAGAUAAAGCUAUCUCAGUCUCCACACAUGGAAUAUGAACAAAAAUGUACAGAAACUUCUAUCAACAUCGUGAAGAACAACAAAAGGAAUAGAAAAAUGUUUGGAUAUAUGAGUAGUCCACCUCAACCACAAGCAAAAGCCCCGAAACACAUGGAUACCCAAAUAGAAGAAUCAAGUUAGGCUCAGCUACAUGAGAUACAAACACCCAAUCAACCAUCAUCCCCUGUUGGUCAAGCAAAGUUGACUCGCAAAGAACUCAAAGCAAAAGGUCCUUGCUACUAUUGCAAAAAUGAAGGACAUAUCAUCUACCAAUGCCGCAAGAAGCGUCUAUACCGACUUGAGAAGAAGACUGCGAAACAAUUAGUUUCUUAAGUUUGGAAGACUUCAGUAUAAACCAAUAACCUACAAAUAACCUUGAAUCACCUUUGUUUUUCUUGCUAACCUUUCCUAAUCUCGAGGACGAGAUUCUUUUUAGGGGGGUAGAUUUUGUAACACCCUAAAUCCAUCACCUAAAAGUAAUCUAGUUUUAUUUAAUUAGUUUCCAUUAGAUUUUUUUGUUUUCAAACAAUGAAAAUGGUAAUUGUCGGCGUUUCGACCCCGGGGGGGGGGGUCCCUGGACCGACGAGUAAAUUGUUGCUGCGUGUCCCAGCCCAGAUGGGUCGGCGUGAGACGGAACACAAGGGGGAAAACAGUAAGAGGAAACCACGGCCUCGUGUUGUCCUGCGCCCGGGGCGGAUGCGCUUGCAGUAGGGGGUUACAAGCGUUCGCGAGAGAGAGAGAGGGCGCGAGCCUCGUGCGUCGGCCCGUUCUCCCGCGCGGCCACCUUCCCGUACGAGAGCCCUGGACCUUCCUUUUAUAGAUGUAAGGAGAGGGCCCAGGUGUACAAUGGGGGGUGUAGCAAUGUGCUAAACAUGUCUAGCAAAGGGGAGCCAGAACCCUAUGUACAUGCCGUCGUGGCUGUCGGAGAGGUGUUGCUUCCCUGUUCAUGUGAUGUCGUGGCCGUCGGAGGAGCGCUUGAGCCCUGUGGAAGUACAGCUGUCGGGGCUGUCGGAUCCUUGCUGACGUCUCCUUGCUUUCGUAAGGGGCUGAGAACCGCCAUCGUCAUGGAGCACGCGGGGUGCCAUCAUUACUUGUUUUACCGGGGCGAGCCGGAUGGGACGCCGGUCUUGUUCACCGUAGCUUGAGCUAGCUAGGGGUAGGGUAAUGAUGGCCCCCCUGUGACGUGGUCUGUCCGAGCCAGAGGUCGGGCGAGGCGGUGACUCCUCCGAGGUCGAGGCUGAGUCCGAGCCCUGGGGCUCGAGCGAGGCGGAGUCCGUCGUCCGAGGUUGAGGCUGAGUCCGAGCCCUGGGGUCGGGCGAGGCGGAGACCGUCGUCCGAGGUCGAGGUUGAGUCUGAGCCCUGGGGUCGGGCGAGACGGAGACCGUCUUCCGAAGUCGAGGCUGAGUCCGAGCCCUGGGGUCGGGCGAGGCGGAGUCCGUCGUCCAAGGUCGAGGUUGAGUCCGAGCCCUGGGGUCGGGCGAGGCAGAGUCCAUCGUCCGAGGUCGAGGCUGAGUCCGAGCUCUAGGGUCGGGCGAGGCGGAGACCGUCUUCCGAGGUUGAGGUUGAGUCCGAGCCCUGGGGUCGGGCGAGGCAGAGCUUCCUAUGGCGCCCGAGGCUGGACUUAGCUGCUGUCAGCCUCACUCUGGCGAGUGGCACAACAGUCGGAGCAGGGCAGGCGACGCUGUUUUCCUGUCAGGUCAGUGGAGCGGCGAAGUGACUGCGGUCACUGCGGCCUUGUCGACUGAGGAGCGUGCGUCAGGAUAAGGUGUCAUGCGAUCCUUGCAUUGAUUGCUCCUGCGAUACGGUCGGUUGGCGUGGCGAUCUGGCCAAGGUUGCUUCUCCGUGAAGCCUGUCCGAGCUGGGCCUCGGGCGAGUCGAAGGUGCGCCCGUUGCUUGAGGAGACCCUCGAGCGAGGCUUGAAUCUGCCUUGGUCUACUGUUCCUACCCGAGGCUGGGCUUGGGCGAGACGAGAUUGUGUCCCUUGAGUGGAUGGAGCCUUGACCGAAAUCGCGCCCAUCAGGCCUUUGCAGCUUUGUGCUGAUGGGGGUUACCAGCUGAGAUUAGGAGUCUUGGGGGUACCCCUAAUUAUGGUCCCUGAUAGUAGCCCCCGAGCCUCGAAGGGAGUGUUAGUACUCGCUUGGAGGCUUUUGUCGCACUUUUUUUGCAAGGGGUCCGACCUUUCUCGGUUGCAUUUCGUUCCGGUGGGUGCGCGCAAGCGCACCCGCCGGGUGUAGCCCCCGAGGCCUCGGAGGAGUGGUUUGACUCCUUCGAGGUCUUAAUGCCUUUCGUGAUGCCUCGGCCGGUCUGGUUGUUCCCUCAUGCGAACUGGUCGUUGCCCGGGUGCAUAGUCAGGUUCCAAGUUCUCGGGCUGGUAUGUUGACGCUGUCAACGGUUUGGCUGGAGCCGGGUUUGCGAGAGCAGCCCCCGAGCCUCCGCACAGAGCGAGAGGAUGGUCAAGGACUGACUCAGCUUUUAUCAUACGCCCCUUCGUCGCCUUUCCGCAAGGAGGAGGGGGGAAAGCACCAUGUUGCCCUCGGAGGGCGCCGAACAUGGUGUCUCCAGUGAGUUGCUAACGGGUGAUCCGAGUGGACGCCCGUGCCCUGUUCGAUAAGGGUUGGCUAGUGGCCCAGAGGCACGCUCCAAAAGUACCUGCAGGUGAUUUGUCGGACCCGGUCCCAUUUGAUAGGGUCCGAGGGCUUGAUGCCUCCCUCUGAUGGGAUUCCGUUAUAGAAUCGCUCCUGCCGGUCUCGAAAAUGUCCUAGGGUACCUCGGGAGCGUAGCCCGAGCCUCGGCCAUGUAUCGGACGUACCCAGAGUCAUCCCUCUCUCUGCGUGCUCUGAGGCGGCUGUCGAACCCUUCGGGGGCCAGCCUAUGAACCCCUGAUUAGUAGUGGGCGCGGAGCCCGAGUGGCCUGAGGCGGCUGUCGAACCCUUCCGAGGGGCCAGCCUUCGAACCUCUGACCAGUAGUGGGCGCGGAGCUCGAGUGCUCUGAGGCGGCUGUCGAACCCUUCCGAGGGGCCAGCCUUCGAACCUCUGAUCAGUAGGAGGGCUCGGGGCCCGCUUCUUUCGCGGAGAAGGAUCCCUUUCGGAGUAUCCCCUUUCCCGGUCCCUGUAGCAAGAGAGAGAAAGGGGAAGAGGAAAAGGAUACAAAAUUGAAUGUCGUGGCACAUCUUUUUUGACGCGGUCAUUAUGGCGGAGGUGAAGCGUCGCCCGCUUCGCCUGCCAAAGGUGUCGCUUGCCCUGCCGCAGAGUUAAUGCGACGGGACGAGUGGUUCGCGGGGCAGCCGUUGUGCGUGCGCGAGCCGUUCGAGGAACGGAACACGGGCGCGUCGUCUUCACGCCGUGGGAGAGGGCUCUCCUGCUGCUCUAGGAGGGGACGUGAGCCUGCAGUCGAUUUGACUGCUGCUUCCGCCCGCCUGCCGCCGCCAUUACUGCCGGCCCACUUUUGGCCAUAUCGACCAUCGCGCCUUCUCCCGCGGCUGACUGACCCGUGACCGAUGUGCUCGGUUGGCACUGUUGGGCCAUGCGCAGGGUUGCCUCGAGUCGUGGCACUGGUUCUACAGUCGAGAUGGCGCGGUACUGGCGCAAGUGGCGGUGCAGUUUCUCGCACGUAGUAACCGACGUGCCGGUUACAUGACGUGUGGGCCUGGGCCUCCCUGCUGGACAUGUCGAAGUCGAAAGGGUGCGCCCCCUUGGUGCGGUUGCAUGCCGCCUGCAUGGCGGUCCGCCCUUUCACCCGCUGGUCUGGGCGAAAGUGGAGGAGUGCUUGUAACCACUGGGCAGUUACGCGCUCCGCGCGCGGUGGUUUGGCUUCUUCUGUCCUGGGCCAGCUUGCAUGAUGCGUGGGACCCAGCCCCCGUGUUGCAGGGAGAGGACCUCGGAGCGUGUUGGUGAAGACUCAGUCCGCGACGGCUGAGGACGCAAGUGGGGAGAGUCGCCUUUAAAAAGGGGGCGACCCCCUUGGAUGUCAGUCGUGCAUUCGCCAACUGUCCUCAUGCAUUGCGUCCUUCCACCUUCCGAGCCCCCGGAUGGGGAGCACCCGCGUUGCUUUCGUCUUGCUGUCGUUGGAGGAACGCAACUUCGCGGAAGUUGGUACCUUUCAGCCAUCGCUCGGCUUCAAGGAUUUUCAUCAGGCAGCCCGGCUGCAUCCCCUCGCCGAUGGUCACCCAAGAUGGUGACCACCAGUUUGAUGGUGGGGAGAACCAAGCCGGGCUGCGGCCUCUGCUUCGCCCUCAGCUUCAAGGAUCUUCAUCAUCCUUGCUGGGGCGGAGGGCGAGCUGAGUUGGGGCCUGCCUUCGCGUGGGCCGGCGUCCCGCUUCUUCCUCCAGAUUGUAGGGGUGGAAACCAUCCUCCAGCUCUGCAGAGGAGGCGCCCUCCAGCCAUGCCGGGGAAGGCGAACUGUUGCUGCCCAGCCAGGGUGCAACAUUCCGUCCUUUGUCCGGGCGGCGGUGGCCAGCCGCACCGGGGGGUCUCCCUACACGCCGUACGCCGCGAAGGCGGUACUCGUGUUCUAGGACGGUCCCAUUCUCGUUUUCGUGGCGAGGACGGGAGUGAGGACCUGUCGAUGCGCUUUGGGGCGGCCGGCGCCCGCUGGUGCGGUGUUGGUGGGCAGGUGGACGUCACCGUCGGUGCUGAGGUGGUGGCAGCUGGAGAAAACUUCUCCGCCGACGAGACCGUCAGCGCCACCCACGGACCGACCUCCGGCUCUUUGACUUUAAUAUCUGGUUCUCGUCCCCCGUGAGGGGACGCGAACGAGAGCCUUCCAGCGGUAGCGUCCGUCGCUGCUGCUGCAGAGGUCGCCUGCGAGUCACCCGGAGUCUGUCGUCCCGCAGGCUCUCCGGUGUGGAGGUUGUUCAUACCCGUGGGAGUGGAACCGGAGUUCCAUUUAUAAUGGCACCUUGAGUGCCGGUGUCUGUUCAUUGUGGCUGUCGGGGCCUGAACAUCGAUGUGUCUGGGCGUAAAGCCAUGUUUCUUCCUCAUUUCGAGCACUAGGACUCGCCUGUCGGCUAGCUGAACCACUUACCAAGUGUGAGUUGCCUCGUGCGGAAGGUGACGAGUGAGGUAUCCGUAUCCUGGAGGCGUAGGAGUCCCUCGGCUCGGUUGGCCUUGCCGCCCGAGGCUUCUCUUGCCCAGUUAAAGAAACCCUCGGCCGCUCUUCGAUGAGCCGGAGCCAGAGGCAGCGGUGUCAGCAUGGACAGAGGCAGAGUUGGCUCGAAAAGAAGACUUCGUCGGCCCAGGAGCAGGUGACUUCCCAGGCCGAGGAGGCGUAGCAGCGGCGGCUGGAACCUGGCCAGGUCGUCCACUAGUGGGACCAACCCUGGAGUCGGGCUGCCGAGGCCAUGAGCCGGGCUGAUGUCCUCGGGGGACAGCUGGCUAAGGCUUCGGGACGGCCGGUCCAGCCGUCUGCUUGGACCGGGUUCCUGGAGGAGACCCUGGCGGCGAUGGCUCAGGCGCGAUGCUGACAUCUUCCUUCGAGGUGGAGAUCCUUCGACCGUGUCGCCGUCCGAGGCUAGGUCGGAUUCCGCCGAAGGUAGAGUCGAUACCGAGGGUGCUGCUGCUCCCCCUAUUGAUGUCUGAACCUGCAGGAACAGUUUAUCUGUAGUGUGCGUAUGUUUUUUUUGCGGCCGCCGAGGCCCAAACAUACCGUCGUCGUGUUGUAAAGCUGCGCUUCUUUUCCCUUUGUUUCGAGUAUCAAGACUUAUUUGUCGGUAACAGAAUUGUUUAUCCGAGCGAGAGUUACUUUUCACGGAAGGUGAUGAGUGAGGUAUCCGUAUCCCGGAGGCGUAGGAGUUCCUCGGCUCGGUCGGCCUUGCCGCUUACGUGUACUCUUACUCGUCUGUAGGAUUCUGUUAUCGAUAUAGUCGAGAAGGCACGAAAAAUUGUUUCGGCAGAAAAGUUUUCGAGCGUUACGACUUGUUCGGCCAGCAGAAUUGCUUAUCCGAGCGUGAGUUACUUAUCGCAGAAGGUGAUGAGUGAGGUAUCCGUAUCCUAGAGGCGUAGGAGUCCCUCGGCUCGGUCGGCCUUGACUGCUUACGUGUACUCCGUCGUUUUCGGGAUCCCACUAUCGAAGCAGUCAAAAAGCACGAAAGAUGUUCUGGCAGAAAGAUUUUUUCCGAGGAAAAUUUUGACGCAGAGGGGGUUCCCCCCUUCUACCCCCGAGGGAGGGUCGGGCUUUGUCGAGGCAAGGCUGACCCUUACUUGAUGGUUAGACUUUAUUUGCGUAUGUAAACGAGGUAUAUGAACAACUUGAAAACAUCUUAAGGGUAGAAGCGACGUAGCUGUCGGAUGUUCCAAGUGUUGCUGUAGACCUCGCCUUGACUGUUGGCCAGCUUGUAUGUUCCGGGCUUCAAAAUCUUGGCGAUGAUGAACGGCCCUUCCCAGGGAGGUGUGAGCUUGUGGCGCCCUCGGACGUCUUGUCGUAGUCGAAGCACCAAGUCGCCCACCUGGAGGUCUCGGGACCGAACCCCUCGGGCAUGGUAGCGUCGCAGGGACUGCUGAUACCGUGCCGAGUGUAGUAAGGCCAUGUCCUAAGCCUCUUCCAGCUGGUCCAGUGAGUCUUCUCGGUUGGUCCGGUUGCUUCGGUCGUCGUACGCCCUCAUCCUCGGAGAUCCGUAUUCUAAGUCUGUGGGCAAGAUAGCCUCGGCCCCAUAGACUAGAAAGAACGGCGUGAAGCCCGUGGCUCGGCUUGGCGUCGUUCUCAGACUCCAGACCACCGAGGAGAGUUCCUUCAUCCAUCACCUGCCGAAUUUGUUGAGGUCGUUGUAGAUCCUUGGCUUGAGUCCCUGUAGAAUCAUGCCGUUGGCACGCUCUACCUGCCCAUUCGUCAUGGGGUGAGCUACGGCGGCCCAGUCCACCCGGAUGUGGUGGUCCUCGCAGAAGUCCAGGAACUUCCUACCGGUGAACUGGGUGCCGUUGUCGGUGAUGAUGGAGUUCGGGACCCCAAAGCGAUGGAUGAUGUUGGUGAAGAACGCCACCGCCUGUUCGGACCUGAUGCUAUUUAGGGGUCUGACUUCGAUCCACUUGGAGAAUUUGUCGACGGCGAUCAGCAGGUGCGUGUAGCCCCCGGGUGCCUUCUGCAAGGGACCGACGAGGUCCAGACCCCACACAACAAACGGCCAGGUGAUGGGUAUUGUUUGCAAGGCCUGAGCAGGUAGGUGCGUCUGCUUUGCGUAGAAUUGACACCCUUGGCAGGUGCGUACAAUCCUAGCAGCGUCGGCCACCGCGGUCGGCCAGUAGAAACCCUAUCGGAAGGCGUUUCUAACAAGGGCUCGAGGCGCUGCGUGAUGGUCGCAAGCCCCCGAGUGUAUUUCUUGUAAUAACUCCUGACCUUCGACGAUGGAUAUGCAUCGCUGGAGGAUGCCUGAGGGGCUGCGGUGGUAGAGCUCCUUUCCGCCACCCAGCAAGACGAACGACUUGGCGCGCCGCGCUAGUCGCCGAGCUUCGGCUCUGUCGAGGGGUAGUUCUCCUCGGUGGAGAUAUUGCAGGUAUGGGGUAUGCCAGUUUCGAUUAGGCGUGACCCCAUUCCGCUCUUCCUCGACGCGCAGUGCCUCACCCUCGGGGGCCGAGGGUGCCUCGGGCUCAGCCGAGGGUGCCUCGUGCUGAACCGAGGCCUUCUCGGGCUCGGGCGUGUUGUCGGUCUUGACUGAGGGUAGAUGUAGGUCUCGGGAGAAGACGUCUAGAGGAACCGUUGUCCGCCCCGAGGCUAUCUUAGCCAGCUCAUCCUCAGUCUCGUUGUAUCGUCGGGCGAUGUGGUUGAGCUCGAGCCCGUAGAACUUGUCCUCCAGGCGCCGAACCUCAUCACAGUAGGCUUCCAUCUUCGGGUCGCGGCAAUGGGAGUUCUUCAUGACCUGGUCGGUGACAAGCUGCGAGUCGCCCCGAGCGUCGAGGCGCCGGACCCGUAGCUCGAUGGCGAUGCGCAACCUGUUAACCAGAGCCUCGUACUCGGCCACGUUGUUGGACACCGGGAAAUGGAGGCGCAGCACGUAGAGGAGGUGCUUCCCGAGGGGUGAGAUGAAGAGCAGGCCCGCGCCCGCUCCUGUCUUCAUCAGCGACCCGUCGAAAAACAUGGUCCAGAGUUCCGGUUGGAUAGGAGCUGCUGGGAGCUGGGUGUCGACCCAUUCAGCCACAAAGUCUGCGAGGACUUGGGACUUGAUGGCCUUCCGAGGGGCGAACGAGAUUGUCUUGCCCAUGAUCUCCACCGCCCACUUUGCAAUCCUACCCGAGGCCUCUCGGCACUGGAUGAUCUCCCCCAGGGGGAAGGAUGACACCACAGUCACCGGAUGAGACUCGAAGUAGUGUCGCAACUUUUGCCGUGUCAGAAUUACCGCGUACAGUAGCUUCUGAAUUUGCGGGUAGCGGAUUUUGGUCUCGGACAGUACUUCACUGAUAAGUAGACUGGCCUCUGGAUCGGCAAUGCGUGCCCCUCUUCUCGUCUCUCGACCACGAUCGCGGUGCUGACCACCUGAGUGGUAGCGGUGACGUAGAUCAAGAGGGCUUCUCCGGCAGCGGGGGGCACCAAGAUGGGCGCGUUUGUAAGGAGCGCCUUUAGGUUCCUGAGGGCUUCCUUGGCCUCGGGGGUCCAAGCGAAGCGCUCGGUCUUCCUUAAGAGGCGGUACAGAGGUAGGCCUCUUUUGCCGAGGCGCGAGAUGAAACGGCUCAGAGCCGCAAGGCAUCCCAUGACCCUCUGUACUCCUUUCAAGUCCUAGAUGGGCCCCAUGUUGGUGAUGGCCGCGAUUUUCUCCGGGUUGGCCUCGAUGCCCCGCUCGGAGACGAUGAACCCCAGGAGCAUGCCUCGGGGGACUCCAAAGACACACUUCUCGGGAUUGAGUUUUACGCCCUUCGCCUUGAGACACUUGAAUGUCGUUUCAAGGUCAGAGAGGAGGUCGGAGGCUUUCCUCGUCUUGACUACGAUGUCAUCGACGUAAGCCUCGACCGUUCGACCAAUGUGCUCUCCUAACACGUGGUUCAUGCACCUUUGGUAUGUCGCACCUGCAUUCCUCAAACCGAAUGGCAUAGUAACGUAGCAGUACAUCCCAAAAGGUGUGAUGAAAGAAGUCGCGAGCUGGUCGGACUCUUUCAUCCUGAUUUGGUGAUACCCUGAGUAGGCAUCGAGGAAAGACAGGGUUUCGUACCCAGCAGUGGAAUCCACGAUUUGAUCGAUGCGAGGCAGAGGGUAGGGAACUUUCGGACAUGCUUUGUUUAGACCAGUGUAGUCUACACACAUCCGCCAUUUCCUGCCUUUCUUUCUCACAAGCACAGGGUUGGCUAGCCAUUCGGGAUGGAAUACCUCUUUGAUGAACCCUGCAGCCGUCAGCUUGUGGAUCUCCUCGCCUAUGGCUCUGCGCUUUUCUUCGUCAAAUCGGCGCAGAGGCUGCUUCACGGGUCGGGCUCCAGCUCGGAUAUCCAGCGAGUGCUCGGCGACAUCCCUCGGUAUGCCAGGCAUGUCCGAGGGACUCCACGCAAAAACCUCGGCGUUUGCACGGAGAAAGUCGACGAGCACUGCUUCCUAUUUGGGGUCGAGCUCGGAGCCGAUCCGGACUUGCUUGGAGGUGUCGUUGCUGGGGUCAAGAGGGACGGACUUAACCAUCUCAGCUGGCUCGAAGUUGCCGGCGUGGCGCUUCGCAUCUGGCGCCUCCUUGGAGAGGUUCUCCAGGUCGGCGAUGAGGGCCUCAAAUUCGGCGAGGGCCUCGGCGUACUCCAUGCACUCCACGUCGCAUUCGUACGCGUGUCGGUACGUGGAGCCGUCGGUGAUGACCCCGUUGGGGCCCGACAUCUUGAGCUUGAGGUAGGUGUAGUUGGGGACGACCAUGAACUUGGCGUAGCAUGGUCUCCCCAGCACUGCGUGGUAGGUUCCUCGGAACCCGACCACCUCGAACGUGAGGGUUUCCUUUCGGAAGUUGGAGGGAGUCCCGAAGCAGACGGGCAAAUCGAGUUGCCCAAGGGGCUGCACGCGCUUCCCGGGGAUGAUCCCGUGAAAAGGCGCCGCGCCGGCCCGGAUCGUGGACAGAUCGAUCUGCAGGAGCCCGAGGGUCUCGACGUAGAUGAUGUUGAGGCUGCUGCCUCCGUCCAUGAGGACCUUGGUAAGCCUGACGUUGCCGAUGACGGGGUCGACAAUGAGCGGGUAUUUCCCCGGGCUCGGCACGCGGUCGGGGUGGUCGCCCUGGUCCAAGGUGAUGGGCUUGUCGGACCAGUCUAGGUAGACUGGCGCCGCCACCUUCACCGAGUAGACCUCCCGGCGCUCUUGCUUGUGGUGCCGAGCCGAGGCGUUCGCCACUUGCCCACUGUAGAUCAUGAAGCAAUCAUGGACCUCGGGGAACUCUUCUGCCUUGUGGCCCUCCUUCUUGUCGUUGUCGUAGGCCCUGCCACCUUCCGCCAGUGGCCCGGCCUUGUGGAAGUAGCGCCGAAGCAUAACGCACUCCUCAAGGGUGUGCUUGAUGGGACCCUGAUGAUAGGGGCACGACUCCUUGAGCAUCUUGUCGAACAGGUUGGCGCCUCCGGGAGGCUUCCGAGGAUUCCUAUGCUCAGCGGCGGCGACAAGGUCUGCGUCGGCGGCGUCGCGUUUCGCUUGCGACUUCUUCUUGCCCUUCUUCUUGGUGUCGCGCUGAGCGAACGCCUCAGAGACAUCUUCUGGCUGGCGCCCCUGAGGCUGCUUGUCCUUUCGGAAGAUGGCCUCGACCGCCUCCUGACCAGAGGCGAACUUGGUGGCGAUGUCCAUCAGCUCGCUCGCCCUGGUGGGACUCUUGCGAUCCAGCUUGCUCACUAGGUCGCGGCAAGUGGUGCCGGCGAGGAACGCGCCGAUGACAUCCGAGUCGGUGAUGUUAGGCAGCUCGGUGCGCUGUUUCGAAAAUCGCCGGAUGUAGUCCCGGAGGGAUUCUCCCGGCUGCUGGCGGCAGCUUCGGAGAUCCCAGGAGUUCCCAGGGCGCACGUAUGUGCCCUGGAAGUUGCCGGCGAAGGCUUUGACCAGGUCAUCCCAGUUGGAGAUCUGCGUAGGUGGCAGAUGCUCUAGCCAGGCUCGGGCGGCAUGGAGAGGAACAGGGGGAGGUUGCGGAUGAUGAGGUUGUCAUCGUCCAUUCCACCCAGCUGGCAGGCCAGCCGGUAGUCCGCGAGCCAUAGUUCCGGCCUUGUCUCCCCCGAGUACUUGGUGAUGGUAGUCGGGGUUCGGAACCGGGUCGGGAACGGCGCUCGUCGUAUGGCCCGGCUGAAAGCUUGCGGACCGGGUGGUUCGGGCGAGGGGCUCCGAUCCCCCUCGCUGUCGUAGCGUCCCCCACGCCUGGGGUGGUAGCCUCGGCGCACCUUAUCGUCGAGGCGAGCUCGACGGUCGCGGCGGUGGUGCUCGUUGCCGAGGCAUCCCGGGGCCGCAGGCGCUGUGUCCCACGUGCGCCCGGUGUGGACCGAGGCUUCCCGCAUGAAUCGGGAAGUCGCAGCGCGAUGCUCCGGGGGGUACCCCUGCCUUUGGGAGGCAGAGCUUUCGGCCCGUCGGACCGCGACAUCCUCUAGGAGAUUCUUGAGCUCUCCCUGGAUACGCCGCCCCUCGGUGGUGGAUGGUUCCGGCAUCGCUCGGAGUAGUAUUGCUGCUGCAGCCAGGUUCUGGCCGACCCCACUGGAAGCCGGCGGCAGCCUUGCCCUGACAUCGUCGGCGAUGCGGUGCUGGACGUCCUGGGCCAGAUGACGCGCUUCUCCGGCUGGUGCUUGGCCUGCCCCCUCCUGCCCGAUAGUCUGCCGGAGCUGCACAAGUUGUCCUGCUUCCUCGUCGAGCCUGGCCUGCAUCUCGCGGAUUUGCUCGAGCUGUGCGUCCUGACCCCCCGCAGGGACUGGGACCACAACUAGCUCCCGAAGGAUGUCAACGCGAGGCGCAGGCCUAGGGGGAUCGCCGUCCUCCGGCAUACCAAGAUGGUUGCCUUCGUCGAGACCCCCUAGAUCGACGUGGAAAUAUUCACGACUUGGGCCACAGUCCUCAUCGCCGAGGCUGUGGCUACCAUCGGAGCAAUCAGAGAGGCAGUAGUCACAUGCGGUCAUGAAGUCCCGCAUGGCACUGGGGUUAUCGAGCCUGAAGAAAUCCCAACCAGAGUCAGGCUCGUCAUCUCCCUCGGAACCCGAGGGCCCGUAGGUCGAGACGGCCGUCAGUCGGUCCCAGGCUGACCGCAUAUGAUACCCCGGAAGGUUCGGAUAUGCCUUUAUGAAAGCAUCCACCGAAGCGGGGUCGCUUGGUGGGUCGAAGCUGAAUCUAAAAGGCAGAUGGGAAACGGACGGUACCUCUUGAUCGACGGAUGGUGACGAAGUCGCGUUGGGGACGGAUUGCACCGUUAUCUCAGGUACGAGGCUAACGCCCAGCAAGUCCUUCGCGAGCGUGCUGGCGUCGUCCGUCUGCUUGGGGUUGGCGUGUUGCGGGGAAACGACGCUCGUCUUCGUCUCAGACGCGAGGUCAACGACCGACGUGUCCCCCGCUGGGGCACCGGCGCCGUCGACUCGCUCGACAGCCGAUGAGGUGCCGCCUCCUGCUUGGCCAUGCCCGCCCCGCCUCCUCCUCCGUCGGCGAGGAAGGUGAUGGGACAGACCCGGAUGUUGCUCUUCCGCCACGCGGGGAAGACGUCGUCGAUUCCGCCGUCGGCGGGCGGGCUGACAGCCGCCAUUGUCGUUGUCGCGCGGCGGAGGAAGGAGUACCAUGUCGUAGCUGCCGUCGAGGGACAUGAACUCAAGACUCCCGAAACGGAGCAUCGUCCCGGGUUGGAGAGGUUGCUGAAGACUACCCAUCUGGAGCUUGACGGGAAGAUGUUCGUCAACACGCAGCAGGCCCCUACCUAGCGUGCCAACUAUCGGCGUUUCGACCCCGGGGGGUCCCUGGACCGACGAGUAAAUUGUCGCUGCGUGUCCCAGCCCAGAUGGGUCGGCGCGAGACAGAACACAAGGGGGAAAACAGUAAGGGGAAACCACGGCCUCGAGUUGUCCUGAGUCCGGGGCGGAUGCGCUUGCAGUAGGGGGUUACAAGCGUUCGCGAGAGAGAGAGAGGGCGCGAGCCUCGUGCGUCGGCCCGUUCUCCCGCGCGGCCACCUUCCUGUACGAGUGCCCUGGACCUUCCUUUUAUUGAUGUAAGGAGAGGGCCCAGGUGUACAAUGGGUGGUGUAGCAAUGUGCUAGACGUGUCUAGCAAAGGGGAGCCAGAACCCUAUGUACAUGCCGUCGUGGCUGUCGGAGAGGUGUUGCUGCCCUGUUCAUGUGAUGUCGUGGCCGUCGGAGGAGCGCUUGAGCCCUGUGGAAGUACAGCUGUCGGGGCUGUCGGAUCCUUGCUGACGUCUCCUUGCUUCCGUAAGGGGCUGAGAACCGCCGUCGUCAUGGAGCACGCGGGGUGCCAUCAUUACUUGUUUUACCGGGGCGAGCCGGAUGGGACGCCGGUCUUGUUCCCCGUAGCCUGAGCUAGCUAGGGGUAGGGUAAUGAUGGCCCCCCCUAUGACGUGGUCGGUCCGAGCCCGAGGUCGGGCGAGGCGGUGACUCCUCCGAGGUCGAGGCUGAGUCCGAGGCGGAGUCCGUCGUCCGAGGUUGAGGAUGAGUCCGAGCCCUGGGGUCGGGCGAGGCGGAGACCAUCGUCCGAGGUCGAGGUUGAGUCCGAGGCCUGGGGUCGGGCGAGGCGGAGACCAUCUUCCGAAGUCGAGGCUGAGUCCGAGCCCUGGGGUCGGGCGAGGCGGAGUCCGUCGUCCGAGGUCGAGGUUGAGUCCGAGCCCUGGGGUCGGGCGAGGCGGAGUCCGUCGUCCGAGGUCGAGGCUGAGUCCGAGCUCUGGGGUCGGGCGAGGCGGAGACCGUCUUCCGAGGUCGAGGUUGAGUCCGAGCCUUGGGGUCGGGCGAUGCGGAGCUUCCUAUGGCGCCCGAGGCUGGACUUAGCUGCUGUCAGCCUCACUCUGGCGAGUGGCACAACAGUCGGAGCAGAGCAGGCGACGCUGUUUUCCUGUCAGGUCAGUCAGUGGAGCGGCGAAGUGACUGCGGUCACUGCGGCCUUGUCGACUGAGGAGCGUGCACCAGGAUAAGAUGUCAGGCGAUCCUUGUAUUGAUUGCUCCUGCGAUACGGUCGGUUGGCGUGGCGAUCUGGCCAAGGUUGCUUCUCCGCGAAGCCUGUCCGAGCUGGGCCUCGGGCGAGUCGAAGGUGCGCCCGUUGCUUGAGGAGACCCUCGGGCGAGGCGUGAAUCUGCCUUGGUCUACUGUUCCUGCCCGAGGCUGGGCUCGGGCGAGACGAGAUCGUGUCCCUUGAGUGGACGGAGCCUUGACCGGAAUCGCGCCCAUCAGGCCUUUGCAGCUUUGUGCUGAUGGGGGUUACCAGCUGAGAUUAGGAGUCUUGGGGGUACCCCUAAUUAUGGUCCCCGACAGUAAUAUAAAUAAAUUGAAUGAUUUACUUAAGAGAUAAAAUUUUAUGAAGUGUUUGGCAUAUUCAUUCCGCAGCAUAUAUUUCGUUUGAUUUGAUUUUCAUAUCUUUUUUUUGGAUUUAAUUUGUUGUAAAACCCUCAUUUUAUAAAAUAAUAAUGUGUUGUUAAAAUAAGUGUUUCUGGAGUGCAUUUUGAUAGGUUAAUAAUAGUCAUUUGUAAGUAUUUGUCAAAAUUUUAUUUUAUUGAUUUCUUUUCUACUCAGCCCAAUCAAUUAAAAUAAUAGACUUUUGACUAAAAUAUUUAUUCUUUAAAACUGGGUAUUUUUUUCUAAAUAUUGAGUUUGAUUUUUUUGAAAUAUUUGAAUAUUAUAUAAAUAUAUAAAGAAAGAAAAAUAAAAAAACUCACAACUCACACGCACACAUCUAAAUUGACAAAAAAAAGAGAAAUAAAAAAAAGAUAAAACAAAAUCAAAACAAAAACAAGUCACGGCCGCUGGCUCCUAGCACAUGCUCUUCUCUCUCCCCUUCUUUUCUCCGAUUUAUUCUCGGAUUGCAGGAUCGCAGUCGUCGCUGCCAUUUGAUGCUGGACGCAAGCUCUCGCUGGCCCUUCAACUCCGUGUGGAGCAUAACACCACACCUUGGCCACCUGUUUCCUCCCCGACCGAGCUCCCCUGCGCCCAUCGCCAACCACGCCGCGCCCUGGAGAUGCGCAGGCCGCGCGCACUGCGCCGUGCCCGAGCGACACCGAAGACCCCGCGGACGCACCGUUCGCUAAGCCGACCGACCCCGCGCUGAGGAUCCCGCACCCCUGCAGCGCUCCACCCACAACACGCGCCCGACUGUCGCGAUCCGAGCAAUCGAACCGCCCCGCACAGAGCCGCCCCGCACGCGUCCGUUUCUUCCGUCGCAUGUAAUGGAGCUUUCACUGCGACCGUUACUCUCUCCCCACAUUCAUCCUCCAUUAAAAUCAACGCCAUUGAUAGCCAUGAAACACCCCUGACGACCUCUGCUCUCCCUCCCUAUCUCUAUAAAACCCCAGCCAAACUCUCUCCUUCUCCCUGCCCAACCUCGCUCUCUCUUCUCGCGUCUCCCUCGCUCUUGCAGUGUAGUUCGCUGGAGUUCGCCGCCAUGAAGUUCGUCGCCGGACUGUCUGUGUUCGUUUGUCGUUCAACGAAGCUCCAUCCGUGCCUACGCGCUGUCCGUCGUUCGCCGUCCGUCCUGGAGUCCGUGAAGCUCGCUCACGCAGCACCCAAACAACCAUGCCCACGCUGUUCGCCGUCAUCCGUUCACCCAAGGUUGAAGACAACCCCGAAAUAUUUAUCAUAUUUUGAAUUUAUUUUGUGAGAUAUUGAUGUGAUUUGGCGAUUUGCGUGUACAGUUUUAGAGAUUCGCGAUGUAUACAUGUAACCAAAAUCGAACCCCACGAUAAUAUUUUAAAUAUGCGUAUGAUUUUAUAGUUCUAAAAAGAAACAUGGUCACUAGUCACUACCGCAGCGAUUUUCAUACUAGAAUACAUUUACGGAUUUGAUUUCACUUUAACGUGUGGAGCGAUAAUUGGUUAGUAUUGUUAUAAGUAUAAUCUUAGUGAUAUAAGAAAUUAAAAUAGAUAUUAAGCCAAGUAUUUCCGUGAAAAAUGUAUAGAUUUCACUGUUCAUAAUAAAUGUAUUCAUAAGUAUAGCACCUAUUUACUUAGAAUAGUAAAAUGCUCAUUUAUGUUAUAAUAACCAUGAAUAGGUUAUUAAAAGUCCCAUUUAGUAAUUUAUAAUUAAUUCUUAGUAUAUUAAUGUUAGAGGAAUUAAAUAAACAAUUUUUAGUUAUACGUAUAAAUUCUAUUUAGAAAAGAAAGGAGAAAACGAAAUAGUAGAAUUUUAUAAUAAUAUUAAAAUAACUUAAUUAGGCACUAAUGCUUUCCCAAUAAAGAAAUUGAUAGUUAUGUUGGUAAAUAUAUGUUUCUUACUAAAGAAUUAGAGAAUUUGUUUCUAAGUGUAAAACGACCUUUUAAUAGACAUCAUGAUUUUGAUUUAAUAAGAUUCGUUAUAGAUGUUUAAGUAUAGCCGUACUAAAUAGUAAUAUGUCAUAUAACUUUUCUAAUAAUGAUAUAAUGGCUUAAUUAAGUGCUCACACCGUCAUAACUAAAAUGAUAGUUAAUAAUAUACCAAUAAAUAUAGUAUUCAUUUUAAUUAUCUAGAUCAUUUGUUCCUACAAUAGAAUUAAAGAUAAUUAAUAGAUUAAUUAUCCUUUAUCAUAAUUUAUUAAUCAAACCUAUAGUCAAUUUGUUCUUAAUUAGAUUUAUGGCACGAUUAAUGUUUCCAUAGAAUUUAGUUCACAUUAUAUAUGGAUCACUUAGUUUUUCCUAAAGGAUAAAAUAAAGUAAUAAGAGUUUAAGUUCUUUUAUAACUUAAAAUGUUACUUUAUAUAUUGACUUCGAAUAUAAUAAUAUAGGCUAUGUGUUUUCAAAUAAAAUAAAAGAUAGUUAUUUGUUUAUUAUCUUUUGCAUGAAAAUCCACUUAAGGCCCAUAACCUAACUCGUCUUAAAUAAGUGAUUAAUAAUAUGAUCUUUUCACAUAAAACCUGUUUAGGCUUAUAUCUUAAGGUCUUUUCAAAUAGAUGUUUUAUUAUAUGUUCCAUAAGGCUUCAUAAAAUAAUAAUGUAUUUCAUAACUCAUUAAUCUUAGAUAUAACGUAUAUCUUUUCUAAAAGGUUAAAUAGUUUUAAUAUUGCUAUAACGUGUUUUAUCGUCUUAUAAACCCUUAAUCUUAGACAUAUCACAUAUAACGUUUUAUAAAGGAUUAAUUUGGUGAACCUAAUAUUUGUAUAUUUUAAUUAAGACAUUUUUAAGCUCAUGUCUUGUUUUAUAAAGUAUAGAUCACACACUUUUCAAAAGAAUACCUUUUUAUUAUAACCCUUGCGUGUAAUGUUUUUUAAACGUGAACGCUCUUUUCGUUAGGCUUUCUUUUAGCUUUAUGUAUGGUGAAUGUUGUAUGUUAUUGAGUGGUGUUUGUUUCUUCUUGUUUGUUUGUGUGAUAUUCAGUGAUUGAUCUAAUAGUUGAGAAUCAAGUGCUAUUCCGUGGAAGAAUCUCAAGUUUUCUAUAAGCAAGGCAAGUGGACUUCUCCCUCUGCAUACUCUGUUUGAUCCCAAACAAUACAUUUAAUAAAGUUUAUUCUUUUGGAUAUAUAUGCAUAAUUUGACGGGUUACCUAUUUAGAUAACCUUUUCAACCUUAUUCCUUGUUCAAACCUGGGAAUUAUACUUUACUUUCGUAGCUAUGCUAUUGCUACAACUUAACUUUAUGCAGUCACUCCCGCUUAUGAUAUUAAUGUUCCAAAAUGGUAAGUUUACAUUAUUGUUGUUAACCCGAUGGUUAAAUAAGAUUAUUGCAUAUUAAUUGGAACAUGGAGUGACCACCUGGGAAAACAGUGCUACCAUGAGAACUAUCAUGGCUCUGGUCUUGGCUAAAUAACUAGGGAAGUCUUAUGUUGGGUGCUGGUCGUGGUUGACAGGAACGGGGGCACCUGGCAAGCUCUUAUAGUUCUGGCUCAGGAAGAUUGGAUACAGGCAUAAUUCCCAAAGCUUUACCCCGCAGUCUGGCUAUAAGUUGGUUACGUUAGGUGUGCUUUAUGCAGUUUGACCAUUUCCAACAUUUGCGUAUUGAGGACUCUAGGGAGAAGCCUCGUAGUGAGACCCUAGCCAUUCACCUCGAAAGUGAAUACGAGUCUAGCUAACCCGGGCUAGAAGGGAAUCGCGACUCAUGGGUAAAGAUGCACCACCUCUGCAGAGUGUAAAACUGAUAUAUCAACCGUGCUCACGGUUAUGAGCAGCCUGGACUCCUCACAUGAUAAUUGAACUUGAAGAUGGAAAUAAAUCGAUAUCCGGUGAUCUGCCAAUGGUUUGUUUAAGUGGUUUCACUUAAGUGUUUUUGAUAUACUCUUACACUUUUGUUUAAUGGGAAUACUUGGGAUUCACACUUAUUAGUAAGACAGGUGUUGUUAAUAAAACGUUGACCAACUAAAAUGCUUACUGCUCAGCCUUAGCCUCAUCUUGUUAUACCUGCAUUAGUUUUUCCCCCACUUGCUAAGCCCCGACCAUAAGUGAGCUCACCCUUGCUUAAUUUUGAUCAGAAGUUUGCAGAUGAAGAUUUUGAUGGUGAACUCCAUGGAUGCUAGUCUAGUGAUACCCCGGUCAUCUUCCUGUGGAUGGAUGUCCUUGUUUUGCUGUACUUUGAUGAAUAAAGGUUAAGACAUUAUGUCUGUUCAAAGUGUAAUAUGUUAAUAUAAUUGUUAUUUACGCUUUUAUGCAUUGUUCUUUUGAUAUAUUACACUUGUGACGUCAACAUAUGUGUGGAAUGAUCCUAGCACACAUAUGCUAUGCACCCGGCUCUGCCCCUUAGAAACGGGUGUGACAAAAGGCCACGGGUCGCGCGGCGGAACGACGGUCGCCUUAUCGGCCAUCUCCGAGCGGAAGCGGUGGAGGCGGAGGGGAUGAGGUGUGCGGUUUUCUCUUCUCUGACUAUUCUCUUAUGUCGUGGAAACAAAAGCAGAAGGCAAGCGCAAAUGGCAGGGUAAAGAACCACCGUCGGCCCCUCUUCCGGGCAUAUAAAGGCUCGGGCGAGAUCCACCCAAAACUUCGCCCGAACCCGUCGCGAAAUUCAAACUCGAAGGUGAAACGGUUUUUAUGUUCCUCGAACGACUCGCGCACGCGCAACAGAUGCCCCGCGAAUCGCCCGUCCCGUCGCAUUAACUCUGGCAGGCGAAGCGGGCGCCGUUUCGUCUCUGUCAUGAUGACCGCCUCAAAAAAGGUGCGUCACAUUGUUUAAAUUUAUAUCCUUUUUCCUUUUUUCUCUCUCUCUCUUGCCAUAGGGAUCGAGAAAAGAUGAUAUUUCGAAAGGAUCCUUCUAAGUGAAGGAAGCGGGCCCCGAGCCCUCCUACUGAUCAGGGGUUCGAAGGUUGCGCCCUGCAGGGUUUGGCAACCGCCCCAGAGCACUCGGGCUUCGAGCCCUUUACUGAUCAGGGGUUCGAAGGCUAGCCCCUUGGAAGGGUUCGACAGCCGCCCCAGAGCAUGCAGAGUCAGGGAUGACCCUGGGUACUGUAAACCCUAAAACUAAGCUAAGAGUUUGGGUAUUCCUCUUAUGUCUUUUAUGUAUUUUAUGAGGAAUAAUACUACGAAGUUGAGUAAACAUAAAAUAGGAAUACCUUCAAUCUAAUUCUCCGCAAGAAAUUUAAAGAAUACCCUUAAAUAUAUUCAAGAUUAAGUGAUUCUUAGUAAAAGAGAAUACAUUAUUUGCCCCUAAAUAAGUAAGAUAAUGAGUAUUAAUUUUAGCUAGCUUGAAAUUUGAUCAUAUACUCAAAAAUAAUGUCUUUCCUAAAAUAAAAUAAAAUGUGUACAUUGAGCCUUUGCCUAAACCAAGGAAUAAAAUAAUCUGGGUAAAUAUAUAAAAUACAUACACUUUGUAUUCAUGCCGAGUAUUUCUUUGAUUGUGCAUAUAGCUAGACUCAAGAUCUGCACUCAAAUAUAAAUUGGGAUUUAAAUUUUGAAUUUGAAGUUGAAAGUAGAAAAGAAAAAGAAAUAUGAAUGAACAAAAGAAAAAGAAAAGAAUUUUUCCAUAGCUUGGGCCGUUUUUCUCGUGCGUCGGCCCAAGUAACCUUCAACCGCACAGCCCAGCUCCUGCGCGCCCUUCUGACCGGUGGGCCCGCUGCGUCAUCGACUAUCCACCAUCUCGGCUGUCCCGGCCACUCCUGUGCGGGUCCCGCUCGCCAGACGUCCCUUCCACCACGCGCGCUCACCAGGCCACUGCCCGUGGGCCCCGUCCGAAUGGGUCGUCUUCCCCGAACGACUCCACGCGAAUACCGCGGGCAGCGCGCAACAAACCGGGUAUUCCGCGCUAUCCUGGCCCACCCCCCAUCGCGGACUCCGGUCCCAGCUAUAAAAUGCUCGGUCCCGCGACCCUCCCAUCGACCAUAGGCGAGAAGCACACAAAACCAGCGCCGAGCUGCAUCGGCAAGCAGAGGCAGAGAGAGGAAAAGCGUGAUGCGUCCGCCGCGGGGAGAAAAAGUCCGAUUCACCAAUGUCGGGCCCUCAGGUGCGGGGUAGGAAGUGUCGCCAGGGCAUGUGGACCUUGCGGCAUGCACGAUUGAGCUUGGAGUUGCACCAUGGGGCGAAUUAUUGCUCGCCGACGUUUAUGCUCCACCGCGAUUCCAUGCCCAGUCGCGGGUGGAUGGCUCUACGGUAUAAUGGAGGGUAAGUUUCCUUCCUCUGGCUUCAUCUUCAUCCCCUGGUCGUUUUGCGCCUUUCAAAUUGGAGUUGGGAUUACCUGGGCCACGGAUUGGUGGUCGCCCGCGAAGACCCCGCCGCGGUGGCCGGCGGCCGACCAGGUCGAUAAUGCAUGGUGUAGCGGCCGAGCUCCGAGAUUGGUGGGGGAAUCAGUGAAGCUUGAGAUCCGUCGUGGGCAUCUGCUAGCCAAACCACCGUGGGCGCGUUGUUUGCAGGCGAUUGGAUGCACCAGGGUUAUUGAUUUCGUCGCCGGGGCCUCUUCACCCCCCGUGGAACCACCGUGCGCCAUCGAGGCUCGGCGACGGGAGCUGGGAGGUGUGGAUGUGGCCGUGGGAUCCCCAGCCGACGGCUGGGAUUGGAUCUGGGAAAAGAUGGCCUGGUUGCCGUUGAUUUGAUGAUGGGUGGCCAAGAUUAGCAGUUGGUACUGAUUGUGUCGGUGGUGUGCGCGACCGCCCGAUAUGGAUCGUGGGGAUGAGAUUGGAUCGUGACCAAAUUCGAUCUGGGCCUUCAAGACUGAAGCAGACGGGUAGGAUUAUAUCACGCAUACCUUUUCACGCGAUUUAAUCUGGGCCGUUGAAUCGAAUCGGACGGCCGAAGCCUAUCCAUACCCCUUCGCGCUGGUGCUUUACAAAUGAGACCCUGAAAUUUUAGGAUAUAAACCCGCAAUUCACCCUGACUGUAGUUUGAGUCUUAGGAAUGUUGCGCAGAACCCCCUGGGCUUCUCUGUUUUUAUGUGCGCAACCAGGGAGCAGAGAAGUUUAAUAUUUAAAUAUAGAAGUUGAUUUUUUGUACACAAAUAAUUCUAGAACUUGUGAAAUUCAUAGUAAAUUCAUUUUAACUCAAAAUUGAGUCAUUCCAGUUGCAAUAAUUUUGUAUUAAUAUUGUUUAUCACCUAGUACCUUUGUUUAGCCAUGAAACUUGAAUUAAAAUUGUUCAUUUGGAUUAAUCUAUUCUAAGCACUAAAUAAAUUCAGAAAACCAUAACUUCGUAACCGUAGCUCCGAAUUUAGUGAAUCUUGCGCCCACGAUCUCGUAGCAACACAUAGAUUAUUAUUAUUCAGUUUUUGCUUAUGAUUGAUGUGAUGUUAAUUUUGCCUAUGCACUGCUUGUUUGUAUUGCUACGACUAGCGUGAGGUCACGUGUCAUCUGAAGAGCAAGUUGGUACCUGGAAUCUCAAGUCCCAGGCAAGUUGUGCCCUUGAUCACUUAUUUUUACCCACUCAUGUUCUAAUUAAUCAUAAUGAUCUGCAUAGGUUAAUUUUGAUGGGACCCAAUAGGUUACCCUAGUUUGAUUAUCUUCAUACCUUGUUUACUACUGAACUUUUUGGGUAGUACUUGCUAGUGCUUUAUGUGGUUUUGGGUAUGAAGAUACAUAAUUCAUGAUUAUACUUUUGUUAUCCGUUGUUAUUUACUGUUCAUGAUAAGAUCAUUAUGUUAAUUGGAACAUUGAGCGACCACCCGGGAAAACAGUGCUACCACAAGGGUUUAUGGACGCCCUUGGCUGAUUAAUUAGGAAAGCUAGUGGAGGACUACCUUACCCGAAAGGGGCAAGGGCAGUAGGGGAGUGGUCAGUGUACGGUGGUCCUUGGUUGAUUUUGUUGCGAUGGCGGUCAGGCAAGGGAUCCCUGCAUUGGAGCUUCCUAUAAACUGUAGCGGGUUUUCUGAAGCUAGUGGAACUUUGUAAAGGCCUCGUAGUGUUACCCUGCCUCGCCUCCUCGGUAGAGGUGUAUGGGAAGUCGCGAUCCCUUGGUAGAUGGGUAAUAUGACUUGUGGGUAAAGAUGUGCAACCUCUGCAGAGUGUAAAACUGGUAUACUAGCCGUGCUCACGGUCAUGAGCAGCUCGGACCCUCAAAUGAUUAAUUUAUGGAACUAAAUUCAAUUUGUCAUAUGCAUUGCAUCGCAGGUGAUGUUAUUACUUUUCUUAAUUGGGUUGGUAUUUACUUACACUUAGUAACUGCUAAUAAAAUUUUGACCAACUUUAAAAGCAAUGCUCAGUUCUAACCAUCCUCUUUGGUAAGCCUUACACUUCACGUGAUCUCCUACCUUUGGCGAGUUCAUGCACAUUAUUCCCCACAACUUGUUGAGCGAUGAACGUAUGUGAGCUCACUCUUGCUGUCUCACACCCUCUCAUAGGUCAAGAACAGGUACCACAGGAUGAGGCGCAUGGAGGAUGUUGCGAUGUGUUCGUGAGAGGUCUAGGUCGUCGUCUCCCAGUCAACUUUGGGUUGCUGGACCGUUGUCUCCUUAUAAUGUAAUUAUUUAUUUUGUAUAGAACUCUUGUUAUGUAGUAAAGAUGUGACAUUCGAUCCUGUGCCAUGAUUCAUCAUAUGUGUGAGACUUGGUCCCAGCACACCUGGUGAUUAUGUUCGCGCCCGGGUCUUGGUGUCCCGAAACCCGGGUAUGACAGAAGUGGUAUCAGAGGAAUGUUGACUGUAGGACGAAACCUAGAUAGAACUGGAAAACCCUUACCUACUUACCCUACUCUGAUUCUUAUCUAAACUUAUCUUAAUCUUGUCUCAUCUAUUUCCGCUUCACUCUGAUUAUUCUUACCUUUUCUUUCUAAAGACAAAUGUGGAUUUCACACUUUGAAAUCCUGUGCCUAAAGUGACUUUAGGAAUAGGAGACCUACUCAUAGGAGCAAAAACAAAACUAUUUUUUUCUAUACUCUUGAGUGCUUGUUCUUAUGAUACUUGUCUGAUUUGGAUCUUUGAUUGAGUGUGAUGGGUUAUGGAUUAAUGUCCACAAUUACAUCUGCAUAUAUAUCUAGGCAUAAUGGAAAAUGCUUAUAAAAAUAACUAGAUUAUCCUUAUUAAAAUAUAUCUAGCCUAAUAGAUCCAUCUUAUUUUAGAAAAAAAACUCUCUCUUACCUUAAUAGAUUCAUCUUAUCAUGAAAAUAUUUUAUCCUUAUCCUAAUAGAUCUAACUGGCCUCAACACAUUCUACCUUGUCCUUAUGGAUUCAUCUUGCCCUAAUAAGCAUAUUUACCCCACACUAGUAACAACCAUGAUCUAAUCCAAAGUAAUUAGAUAUUACCUAGUUUAAUCUAGUUCUACCCAAUCUAAUCUAAUGUGAUCUAAUCUAGUGCGAGUUACUUAAUGAUGGUACAAAGGAUAAGGCCAUACUCCAAAUUCACUUAAGCCUAAAUUGGUGACUUAGAGCAACUAAGCCCUACACGACAACUUGACCUACAUAAUAGGUUACAUAACUUAUCCAACCAACCUAGAAGCAAAACAACAAGACAGACAAUGCUUAAACUUAUUUAACUCAUAACCGCCUCCUACCCUACUUAGGGUACAUACGAAUCUGCCUUAACUACAUGUCCCUAAUUCAGAUAACAACUUCAAGAACAAAGAUCGAAGAUGAUCGGCUUCAUCAAAUCAAGAAAGGAUAAGAUUCAAGCUAGAUCCUCAAGGAAAUCAAGAUCCACAAUCUUGGAUGGAGUCUUUUCUUACCCUACUCCUUCUUACCCAAACCAACAUACGCUUUAAAAAUAUCUUUUACCCUACAUAAUAAAGUGGAUAUACAUAUACCCAUGUUUUCGUAAUCACCUGCUAAUUUGUAUUAUAAACUUGAACAAAAAAAUCUUUUGGUAUUAAAACCCCAUAAAAAUUGAAACAUAGAUUACAAACCAAUCUUGGUAUAAUCCUUUUUCCUACAAAUCUCGAGGACGAGAUUUCUGUUAAGGGGGGUAGGAUUUGUAAACCCUAAAACUAAGCUAAGAGUUUGGGUAUUCCUUUUAUGUCUUUUAUGUAUUUUAUGAGGAAUAAUACUACGAAGUUGAGUAAACAUAAAAUAGGAAUACCUUCAAUCUAAUUCUCCGCAAGAAAUUUAAAGAAUACCCUUAAAUAUAUUCAAGAUUAAGUGAUUCUUAGUAAAAGAGAAUACAUUAUUUGCCCCUAAAUAAGUAAGAUAAUGAGUAUUAAUUUUAGCUAUCUUGAAAUUUGAUCAUAUACUCAAAAAUAAUGUCUUUCCUAAAAUAAAAUAAAAUGUGUACAUUGAGCCUUUGCCUAAACCAAGGAAUAAAAUAAUCUAGGUAAAUAUAUAAAAUACAUACACUUUGUAUUCAUGCCGAGUAUUUCUUUGAUUGUGCAUAUAGCUAGACUCAAGAUCUGCACUCAAAUAUAAAUUGGGAUUUAAAUUUUGAAUUUGAAGUUGAAAGUAGAAAAGAAAAAGAAAUAGGAAUGAACAAAAGAAAAAGAAAACAAUUUUUCCAUAGCUUGGGCCGUUUUUCUCGUGCGUAGGCCCAAGUAACCUUCAACCGCAUAGCCCAGCUCCUGCGCGCCCUUCUGACCGGUGGGCCCGCUGCGUCAUCGACUAUCCACCAUCUCGGCUGUCCCGGCCACUCCUGUACGGGUCCCGCUCGCCAGACGUCCCUUCCACCACGCGCGCUCACCAGGCCACUGCCCGUGGGCCUCGUCCGAAUGGGUCGUCUUCCCUGAACGACACCACGCGAAUACCGCGGGCAGCGCGCAACAAACCGGGUAUUCCGCGCUAUCCUAGACCACCCCCAUCACGGACUCCAGUCCCAGCUAUAAAAUGCUCGGCCCCGCGACCCUCCCAUCGACCAUAGGCGAGAAGCACACAAAACCAGCGCCGAGCUGCAUCGACAAGCAGAGGCAGAGAGAGGAAAAGCGUGAUGCGUCCGCCGCGGGGAGAAAAAGUCCGAUUUACCAUUGUCGGGCCCUCAGGUGCGGGGUAGGAAGCGUCGCCAGGGCAUGUGGACCUUGCGGCAUGCACGAUUGAGCUUGGAGUUGCACCAUGGGGCGAAUUAUUGCUCGCCGACGUUUAUGCUCCACCGCGAUUCCAUGCCCUGUCGCGGGUGGAUGGCUCUGCGGUAUAAUGGAGGCUAAGUUUCCUUCCUCUGCCUUCAUCUUCAUCCCCUGGUCGUUUUGCGCCUUUCAAAUUGGAGUUGGGAUUACCUGGGCCACGGAUUGGUGGUCGCCCGCGAAGACCCCGCCGCGGUGGUCGGCGGCCGACCAGGUCGAUAAUGCAUGGUGUAGCGGCUGAGCUCCGAGAUUGGCGGGGGAAUCAGUGAAGCUUGAGAUCCGUCGUGGGCAUCUGCUAGCCAAACCACCGUGGGCGCGUUGUUUGCAGGCGAUUGGAUGCACCAGGGUUAUUGAUUUCGUCGUCGGGGCCUCUUCACCCCCCCGUGGAACCACCGUGCGCCAUCGAGGCUCGGCGAUGGGAGCUGGGAGGUGUGGUUGUGGCCGUGGGAUCCCCAGCCGACGGCUGGGAUUGGAUCUGGGAAAAGAUGGCCUGGUUGCCGUUGAUUUGGUGAUGGGCGGCCAAGAUUAGCAGUUGGUACUGAUUGUGUCUGUGGUGUGCGUGACCGUCCGAUAUGGAUCGUGGGGAUGAGAUUGGAUCGUGAUUAAAUUCGAUCUGGGCCUUCAAGACUGAAGCAGACGGCUAGGAUUAUAUCGUGCAUACCCCUUCACGCGAUUUAAUCUGGGCCGUUGAAUCGGAUCGGAUGGCCGAAGCCUAUCCAUACCCCUUCGCGCUGGCGCUUUACAAAUGAGACCCUGAAAUUUUAGGAUAUAAACCCGAAGUUCACCCUGACUGUAGUUUGAGUCUUAGGAAUGUUGCGCAGAACCCCCUGGGCUUCUCUGUUUUUACGUGCGCAACCAGGGAGCAGAGAAGUUUAAUAUUUAAAUAUAGAAGUUGAUUUUUUGUACACAAAUAAUUCUAGAACUUGUGAAAUUCAUAGUAAUUUCAUUUUAACUCAAAAUUGAGUCAUUCCAAUUGCAAUAAUUUUGUAUUAAUAUUGUUUAUCACCUAGUACCUUUGUUUAGCCAUGAAACUUGAAUUAAAAUUGUUCAUUUGGAUUAAUCUAUUCUAAGCACUAAAUAAAUUCAGAAAACCAUAACUUUGUAACCGUAGCUCCGAAUUUAGUGAAUCUUGAGCCCACGAUCUCGUAGCAACGCAUAGAUUAUUAUUAUUCAGUUUUUGCUUAUGAUUGAUGUGAUGUUAAUUUUGCCUAUGCACUGCUUGUUUGUAUUGGUACGACUAGCGUGAGGUCACGUGUCAUCUGAAGAGCAAGUUGGUACCUGGAAUCUCAAGUCCCAGGCAAGUUGUGCCCUUGAUCACUUAUUUUUACCCACUCAUGUUGUAAUUAAUCAUAAUGAUCUGCAUAGGUUAAUUUUGAUGGGACCCAAUAGGUUACCCUAGUUUGAUUAUCUUUAUACCUUGUUUACCACUGAACUUUUUGGGUAGUACUUGCUAGUGCUUUAUGUGGUUUUGGGUAUGAAGAUACAUAAUUCAUGAUUAUACUUUUGUUAUCCGUUGUUAUUUACUGUUCAUGAUAAGAUCAUUAUGUUAAUUGGAACAUGGAGCGACCACCCGGGAAAACAGUGCUACCACAAGGGUUUAUGGACGCCCUUGGCUGAUUAAUUAGGAAAGCUAGUGGAGGACUACCUUACCCAAAAGGGGCAAGGGCAGUAGGGGAGUGGUCAGUGUAGGGAGGUCCUUGGUUGAUUUUGCUGCGAUGGCGGUCAGGCAAGGGAUCCCUGCAUUGGAGCUUCCUAUAAACUGUAGCAGGUUUUCUGAAGCUAGUGGAACUUUGUAAAGGCCUCGUAGUAUUAUCCUGCCUCGCCUCCUCGAUAGAGGUGUAUGGGAAGUCGCGAUCCCUUGGCAGAUGGGUAACAUGACUUAUGGGUAAAGAUGUGCAACCUCUGCAGAGUGUAAAACUGAUAUACUAGCCGUGCUCACGGUCAUGAGCAACUCGGGCCCUCACAUGAUUAAUUUAUGGAACUAAAUUCAAUUUGUCAUAUGCAUUGCAUCCCAGGUGAUGUUAUUACUUUUCUUAAUUGGGUUGGUAUUUACUUACACUUAGUAACUGCUAAUAAAAUUUUGACCAACUUUAAAAGCAAUGCUCAUUUCUAACCAUCCUCUUUGGUAAGCCUUACACUUCACGUGAGCUCCUACCUUUGGCGAGUUCAUGCACAUUAUUCCCCACAACUUGUUGAGCGAUGAACGUAUGUGAGCUCACUCUUGCUGUCUCACACCCCCCACAGGUCAAGAACAGGUACCACAGGAUGAGGCGCAUGGAGGAUGCUGCGAUGUGUUCG